GGGGGGGGGUGGUGUUGAGGAACGUGGGCUGGGGGCGCCGCCGCGCAAAUAAUCUGUGUGUAUAGUGGCUGGUGGCGCCGUAGUUUCUUUUUCUUUUCUUUUUUUUUAAUCUUGGCUCGGUCGACUUAUUAAUUAUUUUUUAUUUCUUUGUUCCAACCAUUUUUGUAAGAUGAUGAAGAAAUGGAUUCGAUUGGUGUACUAGUAGUGCUAGUGCUGGAAGGGAGUGGAAAUGUCGAGGAGCAAAUGAUUGGUGCCGCUUGAUGCCUCGCGGCGCCGCGCGCUGUGAUCCCCUUUCUCUUCUUUUUUUCCCCCCUCUUUUUUUUGUGCCCGACGCGAGGGGGGGAGGGAAUGGAAUCGCGCGGGUCGUGCGCGCGUGCGUGGAUUCUUGGGACGUGUACGCAUCCAGAUCUGGAGGUGGAACCGCGAGCCUGCCGGCGGCGUCGGGUGUCCCGUGCCCCCCCUGCGACAUGGGAGAAGCCUGUGCGGCGGGUUGGCUGGUGAGCGGUGACGUCCGCUGCUGUCCCUCGCCUGGGCAGCUGGGCUCCCCCAGCUCGUGCGGCGGCCUGCCGAGUUCCAGGCUACAUCCAGCUGCGAGAAGACACGGCACAGUACAUCCAGGGAGUAGGUUGGAUGACAGGGCACGGUAGAUCACUAGAUCUGCUGGUGGGUCGUCGGUCGGUCGGUGCGGUGGGGAUCCCGGCGGGGUUCUCGUGAUUCGAGCGAGGUCAACGGGUGUCGGGGCAUGCCGUGGUUACGUGCGCGCAGCGACGACCCGUGGAGGUGGAGGCGCGCGCUUUGGCCUCGGCGGGGUUUUCUGCGGUGGAUGGCCGGCACGGCGGCGUGCCUGCGUGCGUAGCGGUAGCUGGGUCAGGGCCGGCGGGACAUCGUCACGGGCGGGUCUUGCGCGAUCGGAUCGACGACGUGGCUGCGGGGAUCAGGUCACGAUCGCAAGGAUCGCCACCGAUGAUGCGAGAGAAUGGCGUCCGACCUCUAUGAGAGGAUGGGCACAAAGGAAAACGAAACAACCGCGAGCGAGAUGAGCAGCGGAAGCAACCAUCCUUUACGACCCACCGCCCUGAGCGCUGGGGAAUGUCUUCUGCGGCAAAAAUGCAUCCGCACCUUUUCUCAUGUGACUGCGAGUGGGUACGUGGCUUUUUCUCUGGCUUUGCACGAGAAGAAGAUUCGUGGCGCGGCGCUUGCGAUGUGCGGUUGGGUCGGUUCCCCAAGCAGGCAUGUGAUGCGUGUGUGAUUGCCGCCUGAUUGGGUCGUCGGUUCUUGGGGACGCACAUAUCCGUCAUGGCUUCCUCCAGUUGGGCUGUGACAGGCCCAAAGAGAGCACGACCUUCUUUCUGGCCCACUAGGUGUUGAGUGAGGGAGAAGUACAAAAGUGCCAGUCCAAUGGACGCACACGGCGUCUAUGUGUCGGCCGAAGUGAACCUUUGUCGGCUUUUCUUUUCUGGACCAGGCCGCCCGGUGCUCCGCCUGCCUAGCCGGCCUGGAGAAGAGUCCGAUAUUGUAGUGCCGCGGUUGCCACGGGCAAUCAACCAGCCCAGCCCAGCCGACGCACGGCUUUGCCCCGGGCGAGCGGCAGCGGGCGCACACGUGCCGCGUUCCAACAAAACGGACAGGGAGCCCUGGUUGUGUUCACGCGGCACGAUCGAUCAUUUGCUUCCAGCUGAGGCUUUUCUGUAGGAGACGCAGUACUAAUGGAAAGGCGCCAGCAGCAACGAAACAAAAGAAAAAAAAGGAGAAGACGACACGUCGACACCGGCCGCGGCCAGUCGGUGAUGACAUGAGUCCUCGUCGCCAUGACUCGCCGCUAGUCACCGCUACGAUGACGUGCUGACAUGAGCACUACCGUACGUACGGCGUGCCGUAUUACUGUACUCGUCUACUCGCACACCGUAUCCCCAACGCGUACGCCGUACGUUCGUACGGCCAUGUGACGCUGGCAUGGUACGCCACGCCGUGCGGUCCGUUGGGAGUCGAGACAACGGAACCAUCUCGCUCGUCUCGGCGAGUAUGGGGGAGGGUGACGGCGUUAUUCAUUACUGCCCCCGCAGGCAGAUUUACCACCCAGGCCAGCACCGUAGUUUUCGUUGAAUCAUGAACAGGAAUCGUGCGAGGACUGUACCACACAGGCAAAGCCAACCCCUUCAGAACAAAAAUAGCCCGGGCGGUGGUCCACAACGAGCAGAGCAGGUCCCAAAACCCUCUUUUUUUUAAAGGGCGAGCAGGUCCCGGAACUAACGGCGCCAUAAAGAGCACGGUACCGGUGCUCAACCGUCCAUCGCGUCACCCCCCCCCCCCCCCCCCCCCCCUUGCAAUUCUUUCGCGACGAGAAGCCACCUUUUUCGCUCCUGCGCGUAACGCUGUCCCGUAACCCCCGCGCAAGUUGGCGUGAUCACGCGAUUAGGGAGGGCAUCAGGAGCCGAUGCCAAGUCUCUCGGUUCACACUUGACAGGGAGCGUGGGCACUCGGUGCUCGGUGCCCCCUUCUUUUUUCCUGAGAUGGGGCACUCGAUGCCGAUGCCAUUCUCCGUUUGGCAACACGGAACACACGAGCGUCCUUUUUCUACGAUGGCCUGCAGCCAGCUCAAGGACACGAAUUGCGCCCCGAGGCACAAAGCGUGCUCUGUGCUUGCCGAGAAGUUUUUUAACUCCUUUUUUUUUCCUUUCUCGACGCUCCGGUGCAAAGAACUCCUGGUACCUGUGCACAGCCGAUAAAGCUAGUGUAACAACAGCCGCGGCCGCCGAGACAGGCAAGACCGGCCACCGGACUGCGAUCACCGACCGCGAUCUGCCGAACUCUUGCUCCAAUCCUUCCAUGCCCCCUGCAUGCAAGGAACGCUCGCCAACGAACCGGCCUGUCACCGUACGGCUACGCCCACCGAAACUCGCCCGCGUCCAGCCGGGCCAACCAACCCCAGACCUACCACAUCCACCCCCAUGAGUGCGAGAGGACCAACCGGCGGAAGCUACCCAAUCUCGUCGAGCUCCCAUGGAAACGAGGAAGAACGACGAGGCACUUCGCAACCCGGCUACUCGUGUCGUGCGGUCAUGCCACCCACACCAAACCUGCUCCACCCCACUUGGAAGUGGCGGCCCGACGACAGCCGCAGCCCACCGCGCGCUCCGGCGCCACCUGCCGCGCACCAUUCACGCGCCGCCGCGCCGGGAGCGAGGUCGCGGCUCGCGAGGGGAUUGCCAGCCAGGUCAGGUCAGGGUUGAGACUUGAGAGAGAGAGAGAGAGAGAGAGAGAGAGAGAGAGAGAGAGAGAGAGAGAGAGAGAGAGAGAGAGAGAGAGAGAGAGAGAGAGAGAGCGAGCGAGCGAGCGGAAUGGAACCCAUUCGGUCGGUCGGCCGGCUCGGGCCCCCGGCGUGGCUCCCCACGGGUGGCUGACUGGGCAGGCGGCCCAACACCACCUCGAAAGGCUGAAACGGUGAAGGGGGCCCCGCCACGUGAUGGCAUAGGAUCCUCUGCGCCCCCGCCGCAGAUAGGAGCGGCAGCGGCUCAUCAUUCCCUCGUCAGUACGCCUCGGCGGCAGGGUGAUUUCCCAGGAUCAUUGCCGGGAGAAGGCAACAACAGAAGCGCGUGGUCACCGGGUGAGCUGCCAGGACCAGGAGUAGCUUUGCCAGCCCAACGAUCUCAAGACGAGGAGCUCGCAUCCUAGAUGCUGGGCCCUGUCUACGUGGAACCUACGCCAACUUGGAAUGCCAAUCUUCUCUACAAGUUCUCUUGUGAUGCCACCAUCGAUGCUACUCGCAUGUACACGUACUUGUACAAAAUACAAGUAUCAUACUAGAAAAUACUUGUGGAUUAAUACGGAGUAGUAUGCAUCAACAAACCAUGGCAAUGUGCGUCACUGUUCCUACUUUUAUGAGUCCCUGUCCUUGCCCAUCAGCCCCCAUCACGCCCGUUUUCAGGACGGGCAGGCUCUAUACGUGGCAGGCGACCAAUGAAUGUUCCAACUGCAAUCCCCUCCCGCCAUCAAUUCCAAUCAGACGGCUGGCAAAACACAUGCCGCAUUUCCGACGCGAUCGGGCGACGGGCGCCUUUAUCAUCGCGUCCGCUCUGACCCGUAGCGACGCCGUCCACCCUCUUCCUGGCGAGCAGCAAGUCCAGCAAACAAAACCCGGGCGAAAAUCCUCCGCCGCCCGCUCGCGCCCGCCUCGCCGCCAAUCCCAAUCCGGCAAUCCCUUCCAAACCGACGCGGCCCCCCUUGCCUGCCCUGCCUUGCUCCCCCCGCGCGACCAGGCUCGCCCCUCGCGCUCGCACACGCGGGCGGGCGCAUGCGAGGCCACACCGCGCCCGGCCCCAGGUAAGCGCCUCCCCACCCCCGCGCCCGGCAAUGUCGGCGCACCUCUCGCCGCCCCACCGCCCAUCCCUCGCCGCCGGGGACGCCAAGAAGCAGACGCACCUCGGGGCCGACCCCAGCAGGAGGACCUCCUCCUCCUGCUUCGGCGGCGGCGGCGGCGGCGGCGGCGACCACAGCAGCCCCAAGAAGCCCGGGCCCUCCGCGGCCAAGCUCGCGCUCGCGUCCUUCCUCGGCGUCAUCGUCCUCCUCGCCGCGGACGCCUCCCUCGCCGGCGCCGGAGCGCACCGGCGCCUGCGGCGCCAGUACCUGCGCUACGUCGGCAGCGCGGGUGGGGGCGGGAGCGCCGGCUCUUCCUCGUCCGCGUGGCUCUCCGUGCCGGACCGCACCAACUUCACCGACGACCUCCUCGCGCGGUGGCUCGCGCCGGGGGGCUCCCCGUGCCGGGACGCGCGCACCGCCAACAUCUCCGUCCCGGUCCUCGACGGCGCCGCGGCGAGGGGGGAGGUGGCGGAGCUCGGCGCGGGCGAGAUCCACGAGUUCACGUUCUGGGCGCUGGACGACGCCGGCAGGCGGCGCUGCCUCGGCGGGGACUACUUCGAGGUGGACCUCUCCGGGGCCGCGUGGAAGUCGCGGCCCCCCGUCAUGGACCGCGGCGACGGCUCCUACUCCGUCCGCCUCCAGGUCGCGCCCCGCUUCGCCGCGGGGGAGUUCCGCCUCACCGUCGUCCUCCUCUUCCGCAGCUUCGAGGGGCUCAAGUUCUCCUCCGCCAGGUUCAAGUACCGCGCUGAGCUGCGCCGCAUCCCACUCCUGUUCCGGCCGGACAGCAACGUGUCGCUCCCGGCACUGGAGGUGUGCCGCGCCGCGGACUUCGCGCGCGACGCCUGGUCCGGCCGGUGGACGCGGCUCGCCAAGAACGACGACUGCGAGGACGUCGACGCCGCGGGCCGGUACCGUUGCCUGGAGCCGGACCACCCGUGCGAGGCCCCGUGGUGCGACGGCCCUCUUGGCGCGCUGGAGAGCAACGGGUGGGUGUACUCGGCGCACUGCUCCUUCAGGCUCUUCGCGGUCGACGCGGCGUGGCGGUGCCUCGAUGGCAAGUGGCUCUUCUUCUGGGGCGACUCCAACCACGUCGACACCAUCCGGAACCUCCUCACCUUCGUCCUCGGCGUCACGGACACGUCCGUCGUGACGCGCCGCUUCGACGCCGUGUUCACGAACCCCAGCGGCGGGCCGGGGACUCUGAGGAUCACGAGCAUCUUCAACGGCCACUGGAACAUGAGCAUGAACUACCUCGGCCUGCAUUCCCUCCGGAACAGGGGGUUCCGGCAGCUAAUCCGGUCCUACUUCAUGUCCGGUGACCGCGUCCCAGAUGUCGUGAUCCUCAACUCCGGCCUGCACGACGGGUGCUACUGGACCAGCGUCCGCGCCUAUGCCCAGGGCGCCGAGUUCGCAGCACAGUUCUGGUCGGAUGUCAUGGCUAAAGUGCGUGCUCGUGGCCACGCCGUGCCGAGGGUGUUCUACCGUACUACGAUCGCGACUGGGGGGUAUGCUAGGGACCUGGCAUUCAAUCCAAGCAAGAUGGAGGCGUUCAAUGGCGUGCUCGUUGAGAAGAUGAGGCGGCAUGGGGUGCUCACUGGUGGGGUGAUCGACAAUUUCGACAUGACAUUCCCAUGGCACUAUGACAACCGCUGCAAUGACGGUGUGCACUACGGGCGCGCACCGGCGAGGCUGGUGUGGCGGGAUGGCAAGAUUGGGCACCAGUAUUUCGUGGACCUGAUGCUGGGCCAUGUGCUCCUCAAUGCCAUCUGCAAUGGAUGAGAAUUGCGGGUUCCAUGCUCUGUAAGUUUCUGGUGCUCAAUUGUAUAAACUAAAGUUAGGCUGGUUAGGGAGCUGAAUUUGCCAAGACGAGGUAUAGAUACACGGUUGCAGAGUUCAUGUGUACAUCAGAUGUGGGAAGAGAGAGGCGAGUGGGGGUUUUAGCUGAAGCAAUUUGUAUGGUCAGACAUCUGAUCUUUCAGCUAUGCUACUGACCUGAUCUUGCUCUAGUGGGCAAGGAAGAUUGAGAAAUCGAUCGGAGCUACCUAUGAGGAAGAUCAGGUACAUGUAAAUAUAUAGCACGACUAUUCGAGGAGGCUUUAUGCUGUACAAAUCAGUAGGUUCAAUGAUUCUGUUCAGUGCUAGUUUACUUUCUUAGUAAUGCUCUGUUCUGUUCGGUUCAUUCUUCUUUGUGAUUGUGCGGGUUAGCUACUAUCAGGUAAAGAAAUGCCACUGUCUGGAGCGCGCUGCAGAUGUUUCCCUGUGUGCUCGAAUUUCAUGUGUUUUAGGUAAAGUAGCAGCAUGUGAUAAGCAGAAAAGGACAGUCAGUGGAAUUACUUUUGAGUGCAAUGAGUGGUGACCAGAAAUUAUGAUUGCAAAGCUAAUGUGUUGUUCGGAGUUUUGUGAUGCUGUCAGUCUAAUAAUCUGGAAAGUAACCUUUUCUGAUCUAAAGUUCGAAACUCUUAGCAACAUGCUAAAAGCAUCAUAUUAUUGCCAAAGACAGGUUCAUGAAGAGGUCCGCUCGAUGCAUACGGAAAUUCAGUUGACUAGAUUGUACAUUACACAAACCGAGUAGGUCAUAUUGUAUAAUAUAUGGUCGUGUAAGUGUAAUGUUACAGUUUGUUUCAUUGCUCUCUGUCUGACCUCAGCUGCAAACAAGCGAGUAUAGUAAACAUUCGGUAUGGUGGUGGAUUGCCUUCAGGUCAUCCUGCAUUUGCUCCAAGCCUACCCCAGUUUGCUUGGGACAAAAGGCUAAGUUGUUGUUGUUGGUGGUGGUGUUUUAUUUCUUGUGUGCAGCUCAGUCUGUUCAGACUUCAGGGCUGGCUUUUCUCUCUUGUGGAAGACGAGUCUAGUCUCAUAAACUGAUAAGCAGAAAAGGGCAGGCGAUGAAACAAAUUUGAGUGCUAUGAGUUGUCGUCAGAAAUGUGAUUGUAAAGCUUUAUGCAUUUCGAAAAUGUUGCAGUAGCGCCGUAGUGGCGACCGUAUAAUGUGAAGAAAGCAAAUAUUUCCCUUCCCGCUGAAAGUUCAAGCCUCUUAGCAUUCUAGCAACAGGCAUGCUAUAACUUCGGAUGGCUGUAAAAAAAUAUAGCAAGACAGGUCCAGGAAUCUUUUGCUCCAACAAGGACACAGAGGCUUAAUGUACACGCAGUCUGAGUAGGUCAAUUUAACCUAUAGAUGCCCAUGUUCAGCAGGUCAGAUGAAUUCUAGUGUGACAUCCACACCCUUCGUUUCAUUUGUUCGUUGUGUGACAAGCAAGUUCCAAACAAAGCAAGAACAGAGGUUCUGCCCGGUGUGGUUGCUUUAGCUUCGGGUGUCCCUAAAAACAAAUCCCGUUUGGGCCCCGUUUCCUUUUUCCACUUCCCUUAAGUGAAGCAAGGGUUGAGGAAAGGAUCCACAAUUCACAAAACUUCCAAAGCUAAAAGCAAUAGAUGUUUAGUAUCUAAAAAGUAAUACAGCGAGAAUCUCUAAAAUAAAAUAAUAAUAAGAUCUGAGUUGGUGUUUUGUUUUUGUGUGCAGUCGUGAACCUGAAUAUGAGCAGGAGACCGCCAGAGAGGCGUUGUGCCCGUGAAUUCUUUUACGGUUUGUUCGUUUCCUAGAAAUCCCUGGAGCUUUGUGUCACUAGUAAUCUAAUCAAAUAUAUUACUAAUGAGCAGGGUCAGGGAGAGAAUCUAGGGGGCACCGACGUCGAGAGCCUGCUAAUCUGGUAGGCGCUCUUCCCAGCUUACCAAGCCAUGUGUCACAGCGACAGGCAACAUGGGGUGGGUGACUCUUGACAGCGACGCCCACAACUCCGAGAGAGCGAGGGGGGGGGGGGGGGUGGGUUGUUGGUUAGCUGAAGCCGAAGCCAGCCAUCAAUAUGGUCAAAACAUCUGAUCUUUCAGCUUUGCUAGUGGCCUGAUGCUGCUCGUGUAGGCACUAGGCAAGGAAGAUCGAUCACUCGAUCGGAGCCACCUGUGACUGAAAAUCAGGCUCAUGUAACUAUCCAGUACGUCUGUUCGAAGAGGCCUCAUGGCUCAUGCUGUACGCCUGUACAGAUUCAGUAGGCCGCGUUAUGUUGUGCGGUGCUACUUUUACUACCUUGUGCAACGUUCGGUUUCUGUUCAUUGUUGUUUGUGAUCGUUUGGUCUGCAGCUGUCAGGUAUAUGCUAGUACAGAAAGUCAGAAAUGCCAACUGUUUUUCCUUUUAUAAAUAAAUGCAGACUGGUUCGGGUGCUUUACAGAUGCUUCUUUGAGUGCAAAGAGAGAUGAUCAGAAAUGUGAUUGUACAGCUAUGUGUCUUCCCACCCCUAAUCUGCAGUUGCAGUCUAUUAAUCUGGCAAGUAGACUUUUUCUUAUCACAAGUUGGAAACUCCUAGCAACAUGCUAAUAGCAUCAGGUACUUGGCAAUUACAGUAUAUAGCAACACAAGCUUCCCAAAAAAAAUGUACUAGCAAGCCAGGCUGGGGAACCUUUUGUUCAGACAAGGUUCAGGAAGUGGCUCAAUGCAUACGCAAAUUCAGCUGCUUAGAUUGUAUCCUACACAACCUCAGCAGGUCAGAUUGCACCCUACGGAAUUGCAGAGUUCAGUUGUCUCGCUUCUGCUGCAAACAAGCAAGUACGGAGAAAAACACCACAUUGGAGGUGGAGUGCCUUGAAGUGUUUCGUUUGCACACUUGCCCACAGUUGGUGCUUCGUGCGUGAGUGAAGAAACAGUGACGAUUGGAGAAGGGCCAGAUGAACCGAUGUUCUGUUGUUGGGUGCAAAGUUCAGACAUCAGGGGUGGGCCGUGUCGUCCGUGUGACGAACCGGAUUUUCAAAUGAGAACCCGACUCUCGGUAUCGUGGUGAUAGUAGCUAUCACAUACAAAACUCAUCUCAGCCAGAUAUUAUAGUCAUAUAUUGCAUAGAUUCAUUAUAGUCAUAUAUCGCAUAGAUUCAAAUAUGGAUUUAAUUAUUACAUAAUUUGAAAAAUUAUAUUAUGAGUUUUCUAGUACAAGCCUCUUGGGAUGGAGUGAAACAAUCAGAAAACGGAAAGGGUAGCUAACCUUCUAAGCCAUCCUCCAUCUUGGGAGAACACUCCUCCACAGGCAAAUUUGAGCGGGGCACGAGUUAUCCUUGAAUCAUCCUUCUUAGUCGGUGUUACGCUUCGGGUCAAAUCCUGCAUCUACCAACUAUCCCCAAGGUGUGGAAUAGGUUCACGUCACCAUCCGUAUGCAAGCUUUAAGUGGACUAUACUAAAGGUAUAUCAAAAUCAAGGAGGAAAGCUGGAGUUUCCUAUGCAUAAGCAUCAUCAUAAGUUAUAUCAUCAUCCAAACUCCGAAAUCAGGCCAUUCUGCCAUCCCGGACUCCCGGUUCACACACACCUUCCAAAACCACCGAGUCGGUGCGAGAACUCAAACUCCUCGCACCUCAGCUGCCCCAAACAGGAAGUCAACACUAGAGGGAGGUAGAAAGUAUGAGUAACACUAAUUAAUAAGAGUUACAGAAGAGUAGGGUUGUACAUGAUCGAGUACGCGGCUAUUCGUAUAGUUUUCACCCUGCAGGAGUUGUACACCUGUGCUCACUCGAAUUGAAGCUAGCCAGGAGCGAUCCAACUUAACGACGAGACACCGGUCUACUGAUAUAUAAACUAGUAGCCUGGGUACCAUCCGGCUUUCCCAGAUCUUGGGCGCAUCCUCCCGCAAGAGGUCGCUCCGGGACUGUGAAGCCUCCCUUGCGUCUUGGAGAACGUGAGGUCAGCACCUCCUCCCCCUGCACCGAUACUCGAUCCUCUUACCGGCUUGGUACCGUACUUGCUAGUCCCAGACCGGACUCACCCUUAUAAUGGGUAAGUGGUGUGCACGUUUAACAAAGUCCCACUAAUCAUAGUUACUCCCAACAGGACCUCAUAUGCCGAAGCGAGUAUAUUCACAUGCAUAUCCACCGCAAUGGUCCACAACUGCACCCAUUACGGGUACCACCAACUUCUCAAUAAGUAACCUCACAAAGGUGCACCCGCCACAGGUGCUCCGUAGAGUGUGCCAAGAUACACACUCCAAGCUCUCGAUCCAAAGAUCGAGUUAAGUUCACUCGCUUCUGGCUAAAAACCCUUAUUCACCAACUCCUAGAAAGUGUAUCUCCACUCAAGCCAAGACUAUCAUGGAAUCCCACACUUACACAUGCAAGGCAUAGCAAGGCAUCUCAUAUAAUUUUCAUGUGUAUAGCAUUGCACAUGCAAGUGUAUAGGAUUGCAAGAAGUUCAGGUAAAUAAAAUAAGCUAUGCAGAUUCAUCUCAUCAUAACAUAAAGUAAACCAUAGCAUAUCUAGCAAGCAAUGCCUAAUAGGUAUUCACAUCGUAGAUGGGCGUGAAUCUAGCGUCUCUUCGUAGUAUUCUCGGUCCUCCUUGUAGUCCUGGUCAUCCGGGAAAUCGUCGUGGUGUUCUGGUCAUCCGGGACGCCGAUCAGCUCCUCCUCGCAGGGGUCUAAUCGUAAUUAUGUAUAAGUAUAGGGGCCAAAGUGCAAAAGUGCAUAAAAGUACUCAAAUAAGAUCCAAAUCACAACAAAACCUACUUUAACGGGCAGAUCAUGAUUUUAGAAGAAUUAUGAAACUGGUUGCAUAAUUUUUGGAAGUUCUGGUUAAUUAAUUAUGAAUUUUCUAAGAUUAAAUCAUUUUCUAAAAUUAAUAAAAGGUUUUGAAAAAAGAAAACACAUUGCCAGCACCACUGUCAGCACCAGGGUGUGCCCCGUGGCAUGCUGACGUCAGCAGGUGGGUCGGGUUUGCUGACGGCAGCAGUGGGCCCUGCUGACGUCAGCGUUGACUGGUCAACGCUGGCCAGUCAACGGUCAACGGUCAGGUGGGUCCAUGGGUCAGGGGGUCCUGCUGAUGUCAGCGUUGACCGGUCAACAUUGGACAGUCAACGGUCAACAUUCAGGUGGGUCCAUGGGUUAGUGGGUCCCGCUGUUCAGUCACACCAUGUCCCUAACAAAUGGGCCAGCUCGGCUAUCAGGCCGUGAUCUGCUCUCUCCCUUACUCCUCUCCUCUCUCUCAUAGGAAGGGCCCGUAGGGCAACGGCUCUUGCCGCGCGCUGACAGGCGAGGGCCACUAGUUAGUGGCUCGCCGGAUCCGAUGUUGCAGCGCCCGGAUCUGGUGCGGUAGCUACGCGUGUGUGUGAGUGCGUGUGUGUGGCGGGUGUGCGGGCUGUGCGGGAGCAUCCCGUGGGUGUUCGACGAAAGGCCGCACUGGCCUGGUCGCGACACGAACGCGAUGUCACGGCCGCGCAUAGGUGGUGACCGCGCAUGGCGAGGCCGUGGCGAGGCAAGCACGGCUCGAUGGGAAACAGGCCGGCCUUUGCUGCGGUGAUCUCGUACGCACGUGAGUCCCUGGCCUCCCAGGGUCGCAGCGCGACGGCAGGGCCAACGACGGCGAGGUGGGGAUGGUGGCAGGGCGGGCACGACAAAGCCCAAGGCGGGGCCUUGGCUAGUUAGGCGGAUGUGCACGGCGGCGCGCGGCCUCCUGGUGUUCCAGGGCCACGGCGCUGAGGCGGGACGGUGGCACAGCGAGGCAGGGGCAAGACUUGGCCCUUGGGGCCAGCGGCUUGGGUGUACACGCAUGCGCGCGGGUCCUGGUAUCCUAGGACUGCGGCGUGGCUGUGCCGAGUGCGGGGCACCGGUGCUCCGGGUCCAUGGCACGGUGCAGCGGCCGGGGGGGGGGGGAGGGGGGGGGAGGGGGGCGGCGUCUACAGGAAACAUGGCGGCAUGUCGGGCUCCUGCACGAGAAGGUUAUAGGACAAGGGAUUCUAGGAACAUCUAUUGGAAGGCUCAUCGACGACGGCGAGCUCGUCGGCAGCAUGGGUGUCUAAGGCAUGGCAGCGGCGCUGGCUUACCGGCGGCUCGGGGAAGCCAAGGGGCGGCGCAAGGAUGAGGCGAUGCCGUGGUGAGGUGAGACUAUGCAGGCAGCGCGACAACGGUGAUGUCGCCGCACGAAGUGAUGGCGUGGUAAAGUCCCUUGAUGUCGGUAUCCUCCUCCCCUCCGGGCUCUUCCUCGUCUUGCUUACUGGCAGCAGCACCGACUCGGGGCAGCGGUGGCUCGGGCGACUCCUCCUCUUCCCUCCUUUCUUCUUCUUCCCUCUUUCCUUCUCCCUCUCUUCUUCUUAGGUAUGGCGUGACGGAAAGGGAAGAAACCCCGAGGGUACUAGGGUUUGCGGGCGGUGGCCUUGGGUCUUUAUGGAUGGCUCGCUAGGGUUGGCGCGGUCGGGAGCGAGAGGACGUUGGGGAUCCUCGGCGUCCGAGCUGAGGACGCGUGGCGUGGAUCCGAGGGGUCCCGGGCUAUGGUUCGGGCGCGGAUCACGUGCGUGCAGGUGGUCAAGGCAGCGCAUGGGUGACAUAGGUGGGCGCGGCGUGGCCGUUGGGCUCCUGUGUCGCGACGCGGAGGCGAAGCGGCACAGGGCAGGGUGAGCGAGCGAGGAGCGGUGCUAGUGCGGGAGCAGGCGAGGCACGGGGGGUGGGUGCCAGCACGGCGGCGUCGCCGGUGCGGGGUGCGGCGCGGCUGUAGGUAGGAGAAAGGAAAGCUGACAGGUGGGGUCCACCUAUCAGUGACCCGAGGGUAAAGGGGGCGAGUGGGAGGCGGCGGCUGAUGUUGAGCUAGGGUAGUGGCGUGGGACUGGGCCGGCCUGUGGGCCGUGCGGGCAGGUCGGGUUUCGCGGGCGGUGAGCAGGCCAAACUUGGCGUGCAGCCACCCGGCCAGUUGGGUUGGGCUGGUUUUCGGUAGGGUAGGGUAGGGUCAUGGUUCGGUCUUGGGUUAGGGUUGGGCUGAGCAGCGGAUCGGGUUAGGAUAGCGGGUUCAGUUAGGGUAGUUAGCUUUUGAAUUCAAAUUCGAAGGGUACACUUCGAGUUUGCAUUCCACUCAAAUUCAAUCAUUCAAAAUAAAUUCAAAUAAACAAGAUAGCUUCAAUUAAAUCCCAACAACUCCAAAUAAAUUCAUACAAACAGAUUAGUCCUUCACUUAUAUUAGAUUUUAUUUUGCUAGGAAUUUGAAAUCCAAGAAAUAUAUCCUUAUAUUAUCCUUAGGUUCUGACACUUAGAUAAAAAGUUUUUGAAAUUCAUAAUUUUUGUAUCUUAGAACAUUCCGGAAUAAAUUCGAGAUGUUACAGUCGGCGAGCAUGAUUUGUGCGGAGGGACAUGAGAGGCAUUGCGCCUGCAUCAUGAGUUCGCUAGUUCUCUGGAUCAGAAUCUUGCUCCGUGCCACUUGUAAUCCGGUAUCAUUAUCGUAAACUAAUGAGCAGAAAAGGACAGGCGGUUUCCAGUGCCACGAGUCGCGAUCAGAAACACGAUCGUAAAGCUCUUAUGCAUUUUCCAAACUUUGCUGCUAGUACCGUCGUGGCGAUCUUAUAAUGUGGGAUGCAGUUUUUUUUUCCUGAUCACAAGUUCAAAACCGUUGCCAACAUGCACUCUAGUGAAAGCUGUAAAAGUACUAAAAUACAACAACCUCAGGAAUCUUUUGCUGAAACAAAGGCUAGUCGAGGAAGACGCUUAGUGCGCACGCAAGUUCAGCAGGCCGGAUUGUGCAGUGAACUAGUGAAGCGUAACAUUCCAGUUUGUCAGGUCUUCUUAUUCCACACGCUCCCGUUCCGUUCUGUUUUUCCAAGUGAUGCGUUUGAGAGAGCGUGAAAAGACCAGAUCGACAGGCAAUGUGUGUGCCUGCGGAUUCUUGUAUGCUUUUGUUCGUUUCCCAAAUUCGAAUCGAGCUGCGUGCCGCGAUGAUCUAAGGUCAGAUAUAUUCUAAUGAUCCGCGGACGGCGAGAGAAUUCAUCAAUGGCACCGACCUCGAGAGCCCAAGAUUAAUCUGGGCAGGAGCAGCCGAGUCCCAGUCACCGCCGCACGGAGUGUGCAGCCGUCUUGGUUGAUCCGCAGCGCUCCGCUCCUCCGUCCCAGCCUGUCUCGGCGACGGGUACAUGGGCUGGGGUACCGGGGUGACACUGACAGCGCACCCUCAGGUCAGGCCACAGCCCGGUAUUCAGUGGCGUACUGGCGUGGAAGGGUGGAAUCGAAUUCUUUUUUUUUUUGGCGCGUGGAUGCCUGUGGUGUACUCCAAAAGUGAGAAAGCAGACCGUAGAAUGUAGGCCAUGUUAGCAGCCGGGAUGGGCCAACCGCGGCCCACGCUGGGCUUGGCUGUGUUUCUCUGGGCUGGAUCAGAAGCGGCUGGGCGGCCCAUAUCGUACGACUCCGCCGCUACCAUGGACCUUCAUGGGCUCAUGAUAAAGGAACAAUGCAACAAGUGACGAAUAAUUGGCAUUGGCAGAAGGGCUUUGGCGACUUCGGCGGCGAUCGACACCGACGAAGGUCUUUGGCUCCUCUGGUCAUCUUGUUGCGAUCUGCUCUAAGCCUCUAACUGUUGCUCUGCUCGGGCUGACAAAGGGACUGGCUUUGCCCGGUUACCCGGCCUUGGCGCGGUGCAGUAGGGCACGUGGUCGAGAUUGAUCUAGGGUUCAGGGAUGGCAACAUCGUCAAACUCGAAGGCAAGGAGGGAUGAAGGUGAUUUGGAUGAUCUCCUCCGGAAGCUGCAGCUCACUAAAGCAGAACGUGAGGGAGUUUUCCUAGCAAAAGCAGACAGGGAGGGUUUUCCAAAAGUCAAGUGGAUGGCGGCGGCAAAGCUGUUGACGAUCAAGGAUUUUAGUGAAGCCUCGCUAGCAUCUACGAUGCGGUCGGCAUGAAAUGCGGCGCGUGAAGUGGUUUUCCGUUCAAUAGGGAAGAACCUGUUUAUUGUUCAUGCUUUUUGUUUGGGAGACUGGAAGCGUAUUAUGGAGGAAGGCCCAUGGUUUUUGCGUGGAUGCGCCUUGAUGUUGGAGGAAUUUGAUGGGUUGACAACGAUGCCGAAGGUGAUGCCACACAAGGUGCCUGCAUGGAUCCAGCUUCACAAGGUCCCGCUACUAUAUCGAUCUGAAUCAAUCCUCAAACGAUUGGCCGGUAGAGUGGGAGGUCCGAUAACAGUGGAGAUGAGGGCAGCCGUUUUAAAUAGAGGUGAUUUUUUUCGAGCAAGGGUGGAGUUGGAGGCUGGGAGACCUUUGGUGAGAUUUGUAACACUUACACCAGAGGGAUGUGAGAGCUUAUUGAUCCCUGUGAAGUAUGAGAAGAUAGCUCGUUUUUGUGCACAUUGUGGCUUGAUGGGCCACGACCAUCUUGAGUGCGGCAGUGGAGAAUUUUUGGAGGAGGAGCUUCAGUUUUGGGACUGGAUGAAAGCUGGCGAAGAAUUAUGGCGUCCAGGAACUCCUCGGGUCAGAAAUACUCCAAUGCUGAUCGUGAGGUACCCAGGGGAAGGGACCAGGGGGCGUUUGAGCGUGGUGGACGCUCAACUGGACGGUACGCUAGGGGCUGUUCUCGGUUCCCUAAUGUCUAUGCUGGCCGAGGCACACAGUGGAAGGAGAAGGAGGCAACCAGCUAGGAUUCACGCAAGAGAAACUCCGAAGAAGCUGGGCUGGGAACCGAGAGAGAGGAUGAGCUGGGGGAUACUGCAACUAGUCCGGCCAAGCCCACCGCGCAAUCUUUUGAAGCAAGGAAAGAGAAGCCAGAAGCGUAGAAGAAACUUGUACUGGACAUGGCUCCCAAGGAGAAACUAGCUCCCGAUGGUGUGCCCCCGCAACCGCCGAAGUAUAUUUCACCAAGGGAACAAAAGCGUUUCUGGAAGGAGGCCAAAGGAAAACAAGCGGAGAACAAUGAGGCGGGCUCCGAGGAGGAGCGCCGCUAGGCACAAUGAGUUGCCUAAGUUGGAACUGUCGCGGGCUUGGCAAUGCCGCGACAGUUAAAGAGCUUCGCGAGCUGGCGAAGAAGUUUGCCCCAUCAGUGUUGUGUGUUCUUGAAACCCAAGUUCACAAGUCACGAGUGGAAGGUUUGAAGCGGAGUUUAUGUUUUGAUAAUUCUUUUGCUGUAAGCAGUAGCGGUCGCAAUGGCGGCCUAGGAAUUUUUUGGAACAAUGAUAUAAAGGUGGAUUUGUUACCGUAUUCACAAUACCACAUUGAUGCCAUUGUUACUGAAGGGACUAAUGGACCCUGGAGACUAACCUGUGUGUACGGUGAAGCAUAGACAAAUGAAAGACACAAGACAUGGGAUAUGCUGAAAUUUAUCAAGACAUCGUCCCAUCUACCAUGGGUGUGUCUCGAUGAUUUCAAUGAAGUUUUACAUCAAUCGGAGCAUGUGGGAGUGCAAGAUAGAAGUUUUUCACAAAUUGCAGGCUUUCAGGGGAUGGUUGAUGUGUGUGGCUUUCAUGACCUCGGCUUCGAGGGGCGCAGCUGGACCUUUGAGAAGAGGGUGGCUGGUGGAUCAUACUGCCGAGUUCGUCUUGAUCGGGCUUUGGCAUCACCGGAUUGGAGCGCUAGAUUCCCGGCAGCGUCGGUGCACCAUCUAUCGGCAGUUGCUUCAGACCAUAUACCAAUCCUGUUGCAGUGGCAUCGGAAACGUGCACGACAACGGAGGAAGGGUCGGUUCAGGUAUGAAGUCAUGUGGGAGACUCAUGCAGAAUUCUCGGACAUGUUAUCACAAACAUGGACAAGUGAGGGGAAAGCGAUGACGCUGCGAGAACUUCAGGAGAAGAUGCAACGUCUGUCAACUUCCUUGCUAGGCUGGGAAAAGUCCACCUUUGGCCAUGUUAGACGUGAACUUCAAUCUCUAGAGGAGUUAGAAAAGCUGAGGAACGAACCUGGUCGCACUGGCCCUUCACAUGCAGAACUGAAGAUUGUAGAGAGGGUGUUGGAGUUGCACCAUCGAGAAGAAAUAAUGUGGAAACAGAGGGCAAGAAUCGAGUGGCUACGAGCUGGAGAUAAAAACACGCGGUUCUUUUAUCUACGAGUGACUAGGAGGAGAAGGAAAAACCUGAUCACACUGAGAAAGCCAGAUGGACACACUACGGAAGAUCCUCAGGAGAUGGCAAGUUUGGCGACCAGCUUCUACAGAACCUUAUAUAUGUCUGAGGGAACUGAGAACAUGGAAACUGUCCUCAGUACUGUUCCAAUCAAAGUGAGUGCGGACAUGAACAAUCAACUGUUGGCAGAGAUUAAGACGUCUGAGAUUAAGGAUGCUUUAUUUCAAAUGUUCCCAACUAAAGCUCCGGGCCCAGACGGAUACCCGGCACAUUUUUUCUAGAGGCACUGGAAUCUGUGUGGAGAAGAGGUGACCUCUGUAGUGAUGAGGGUUUUACGUGGCCAAGACAAUCCGGCAAGUAUUAACAACACUUUCAUUGUCUUAAUACCAAAAGUUACAAAUCCGGUGGAGCUUGGCCAGUUCAGACCGAUCAGUCUUUGCAACGUUAUAUACAAGAUCGCAUCAAAAGUUCUUGCCAACAGACUGAAAUUAUUGCUGCUAGAGAUUGUGUCUGAGGAACAAUCGGCUUUUGUCCGGGGCGAUUGAUCACAGACAAUAUAAUUGCUGCUUACGAGUGCCUGCACUUUAUGAAGCAGAAGCGGCCUAGUGACCAGCGUUUCUGCACACUGAAAUUGGACAUGAAGAAAGCCUACGAUCGAGUUGAGUGGUGUUAUUUACGUGUAAUCAUGUUGAAGCUGGGUUUCCAUCAGCUAUGGGUGGACAUGAUCAUGCGACUGGUGUCAUCAGUAUCUUUUGCGGUGCUGUUCAAUGGUGAGUGCCUUGAAAAUUUUUAUCCUUCCAGGGGCAUCCGGCAGGGUGAUCCUGUUUCUCCCUAUCUCUUUGUUUUGGCAGCAGAGUGCCUCUCAUGCCUAUUGAAGUCUAGAAUUCAGUCAUCCGAUCUUAAAGGAAUUAAGGUGGCGCCAACGGCUCCGAUGGUCGGUCACCUUCUCUUCGCAGAUGACAGCCUGCUACUUUUCAAAGCGAAUAUGGAGAAUGCAAUGGAGAUAAAAGAUGUUAUGCAUAUGUAUUGUCGAGCUUCUGGUCAACAGAUUAACCUGGAGAAAUCUUUAAUUCACUUCUCAAAAGGAUGCUGACAGGUGACAAGGGAUGCAAUUAAAUCUAUUCUGGAUGUUAACAAUGAAGCUUUGAGCGAGAAAUAUUUGGGCAUGCCCUCGGAUGUCAGGGUGCGACGAAUAGUGCCUUCAAGUACCUCAAAGAUCGUGUGUGGAAGCGAGUACAGGGUUGGAUGGAGCAGUGUCUCUCGGCAGGAGGGAAGGAGGUGCUAAUAAAAUCAGUUGCUCAAGCCAUUCCAACUUACUCGAUGUCUUGUUUCAAAUUACCAAGAGGUUUAUGCCUUCACAUCAAUAGUUUGCUUCGGAAUUUCUAGUGGGGCAGCUCUGAGGGGAAGAGGAAAACCUGUUGGGUUGCCUGGGAUGAUAUGGUUAAACCAAAGUUCUUCGGAGGUCUUGGUUUCAGGGAUAUCGAGCUGUUUAAUCUAGCUCUUUUGGCAAAACAAGCUUGGAGAAUUCAGCAGGAUUGGAGUUCUAUGGGUGCCCGUAUUCUGAAAGCUACAUACUUCCCUGCAGGCGAUUUUCUGAGCGCGCAGCUGGGGUCAAGACCAUCUCGCAUAUGGCGAUCAAUACUCGAUGGGAGAGAGGUGCUGCAACAAGGGCUGAUCCGCGGGAUCGGGACGGGUGAGACCACAGAAAUCUGGAACAUGAAUUGGCUGCCAAGGGAAGGAUCGCUACGGCCAGUCUGUACUCAAGUUGCAUCGGCCCCCAGACUGGUUAGCGAGUUAAUUGAUUCUACAACGGCGACGUGGAACAUGCAGUUGUUAGAAACUCACUUUACGCCAGCUGAUCUGGAAACAAUUCUUAACAUUCCUCUGCGUACCAGAAGACAAGAAGAUUUCUGGGCGUGGCACUAUGAGAAGACUGGUGUUUUCUCAGUUAGAUCAGCUUAUAGGAUGCUGGUGAUUAAUAAGCAUCAUGCAACAGCAUAUCUGGAGAGCAUAGCUGGCAGAUCAGAUGUCCGAGCUGAAGAGAAGGAGUGGUCGGCAAUCUGGAAGCUCAAUAUCCCUUCAAAAAUCCGAAUUUUCUUGUGGAGACUAGCAAAACACUCUGUCUCCCUUCGGGGGAUGUCCUCUGUCACAGGAACAUGGCACAGCAGAGCUCUUGCGACAUAUGUGGGGUACAGGAUUCCUGGAAGCAUUCUUUGAGUGAGUGUAAUCUUGCCAGAUGUGUAUGGGCUUUGGAGCAAGCAGAAUUCGUCGAGCAUCUGUACAACAUCCAAGAGUCGGACGCUCGUGCUUGGUGGGCAGAAGCAACGGCAACACUGCCGAGCAAUGAUCUGAUCAGAGUUGCUAUCACUUUAUGGGCAAUUCGGUAUGCGCGUUUACUUUAUGGGCAAUUCGGUAUGCGCAGAGGAAAACGCUUCAUGAGAAUUUGUUCCAGAGUCCUCUGUCCACGCACAGUUUUAUAGAAAGGUACAUAGCUGAUCUUGACCUCAUUCAACCUGAACAAGGUGCAGCCAGAGGACCCAAACAGCAUGUACCUGCAUGGAUCGCGCCACCAGAGAGCGUGACGAAGAUAAACGUUGACGCGGCGAUCUCCAAAAACACUGGUAGAGCAGCUGCGGCAGCUAUAGCGAGAGAUGGAGCAGGAAUUUUUCCUGGGGCCUUCAGUACUGAUUAUCCAGGGUGUGACAGACCCAGAAUCGAUGGAGGCCUUAGCUUGCAGAGAGGGUCUUGAUCUUGCAAGCGAUCUUGCAGUCAGGAAGUUCAGUCUCGCUUCUGACAACAUUAGCGUGGUAAAGAACAUCAAGAGCGGGAGCAAGGGAGCCUAUACACACAUUGUUGAGGAGAUCAGGGCCAGGGCACGAGCCUUUGUGUCUGCAGAGUUUGUUCAUGAAGAUCGAGCGUCUAAUGUUGAUGCUCAUAACUUAGCUACAAGUUCAGUUUAUUGUGAGUUAGGUAGAUUGGUGUGGUUGCUGUCACCGCUGAAGGCGUUUGUAUCUCGGUUCCUAGAGUCUUCAAUCAAUAAAGAGUGUUGAUUUCCCUAAAAAAAUUGGCACUGGCAGAAAACCAAAAAAGUACCACAUCAUAAACACCGGGAAACAUGCAGUACCAGAUUACCAGUACGUGCUUCACAGUAACACGAAACCAAUUGUAUAACUAAAACACCAAGUGCCAUUAGCAUACAGUAGGUGCUACUUGAAUAUAUACAAGACUGUCUAAACGCUCAUAGCUAGCCAGAACACAAACCUGAAAAGCAUCAAGGAAAUCCGUACCUGCCGGCCACAUGACUACUCAUGCUGCGCAGGCCUGCGCAGUACCGGAGUAAAAAGGGGGAAAUAGAUCCGUGGUGCCGCGCGCACCCAGACUUUUAAUUUGCUUCAUUGCACGCAGCUCGCGUCAACAAGUGUACAAUCAUUAGAACGUCGUCUCUAUGUCGAUGAUUUCCUACGCCCAUAUAAUGAUAAUAAUAGCAUUAGCAAUGAACUUAUCGAUUAACAGAAUCUGCUAUACUUGUGCAUGCUUAAUCCCCUUGCUUCCCAAUCCAUCGAUGAUCGAUCGUCGGCUGCCACCAGCGACGCCUGACUCGGCGUCUGAUAUUUCCCCUCCCGUGCCGCCGCCUGCGCCCGCAUUGCCGCGACCCCGGCACCCCGCGCCGCCUUCAGCCCUCCGCCGCCGCCUUGGAGCCGCCGCGGCCGCGCCACCGCCGCGCAGCUCGAGGAGGACCUUCCCGCACGAGCUGCAGGACGCGAGCUCGCCCUCCGCCCGGAGCCGCCGGACCGCGCCGCAGUGGCCGCACCAGCCGCGCAGCUCCGGGAGUGCCAUCUAUCGCCGCGACGCCGGAGCGCCGGACGUGUCUGCCGGGGUACGGUGGCUCGACUGCUCACGGACGUCGGUCGUAGUAGAUUUAUGUACGCGACGGGAGAUCGAUCGAUGCUAUAUUUUUGGAAAGCGCGUUGCGUCCCGGCGUUUGGGAACGUGCUUUGCUUGGUUGGUUUUCGGUGGCCGCGCAACGGAACCUGCCACCUCCAUCUCGAGUUCGUUUCCAUAUAUACUUGCUUCACGGACGGUCGUUGGAGCAAAGAUAGGAAACUUGACGUCAUCGUCGUAGCAGGUUUCAUUUCUUGGCAGCCAAUCUCCUGUUUUCCUAAUCCUUGCAUACUGUAUAUCCUACCCAAUCGAAAGUUCAAGCAAACCCCCAAAGACCACACAGCGAUCCAGACGGAAUAUAUGGACAGUUGCCCUGUUCCAAGGGUAAUUAUAGUGGAGUUGUCUAAUAAACAAUCUCAUAUCUAAUGACACGUCAUCAUAAGAUGGUUGAACAAUCAAUCUCUACAAUAGAUUAUCGUUUUUUAUCUUGUAGCAGUACCAUAUUGCUUAAGUUGUGGAAUGAAAAACGAAUAUUACAAGUAGCAUGAUAACAACCAGUCGUACAAUGGUGAGUCUUAUAAUUUUUAAUUUUAGCAUAUAAGGCGGUUGUUUCGCGAAGCAACCAUCUCGUACUCUCUUUUCUCUCCUUCACAUCAUGAAAAAUUCUAUGAGACAACUGACAUGUAACAAUUUACUUGCUCAUUUGCAGUUGCAGUUGCAGUUUGUUCCUGGUCUCCAUGUCUUGACCCUAGUGUAUUGAAUCUUCAGUUCCAACAACCAUCCGCUGACGCAUUACCCCACAGCAUGUUGUCACUGAGCGCAUUUCCGUAUAUUCGACACCGGGCAAUCCUAGAGGGUGUUAUCUAUCUGUUGGUUGUUGUAUGGGGACUUUAUACUUACUCCUCUUGUGAGGGUAUUAGAAGGAGUUUGACAACUCCUCCACUCGCAUAUUCUUUCUAACCCAUGGUGUUGUUCUCCGCAUGUCGUGCCCCUAUACCUCGCAGCAAAAUGGCAAAGCUGAGCGUGUUUUGCGCACCAUCAACAACAUCAUUCGCUCCCUCCUUUUCCAAUCCCAUUUCCCCCUCCCUACUGGGUGGAAGGCCUCCACACUGCCACCUACCUCUUCAAUCGCCACCCCUCGAAAACACAUCAGUUUUCCACUCCCCACCAUGUCCUCUACGGGCAUCCACCAUCCUACUCCCACCUCCGCGUGUUCGGUUGCAAGUGCUAUCCCAAUACCUCUGCUACCGCUCCCCACAAACUUGCCCCACGCUCCUUCCUGUGUGUCUUCCUUGGUUACUCAUCAGAUCACAAAAGGCUACCGCUGUCUAGACAUCUCCAUAAACCGUGUCAUCAUCUCUCGUCAUGUGAUCUUUGAUGAGUCCUCCUUUCCCUUCGCUGACACAACACCGACGGCCUCCCGCCCUCCCUCUGACCUUGAUUUUUUGGAUGACUUUCACUGUCCAGACUCUAUGCAGGUCAUUCAUCGGCGCACGCCUGUGCCAACCAGGCCUUCCACGCUAGCUGGGCCGGCCUCGUCGUCUGGUGGGCCGCCUCCGCCUGGGCCACCUCCGCCGCCUGGGCCGCCCGUGGUUGGCUCCCCUGCCUCUCUGCCAUGGCACUGGGGCCAUCCACUGGCCGCUGGUCAGCGCACCGCGCGCGUCCCGCGCCAGGCGCUCGCUCCGGUGCACCUUCCCGCACGUGCAGCCCCGGCACCUCCUGUCGUCAACAGCCACCCAAUGCGCACUCGCGCUAAAAGUUGCUUCGUUCAGCCUCGUCUACUUCAUGCCACCACCGUCUCCCCAGUACCUACGACUUAUCGUCGGGCCCUGGACGAUCCACACUGGCGCGCGGCGAUGAACGAUGAGUUCCAAGCUCUCGUCCACAACAACACUUGGACUCUCGUUCCUCGCCCGCCUCGUGCCAACGUCGUCACCGGCAAGUGGAUCUUCAAGCACAAGAUGCGGUCCGAUGGUACCCUGGAUCGGUACAAAGCGCGCUGGGUUCUCCGUGGCUUCACCCAGUACCCUGGUGUUGACUUCGAUGAGACUUUCAGUCCAGUUGUGAAGCCCGCCACCAUCCGCACCGUCCUCAGCUUGGCUCUCUCCAGAGACUGGCCAGUUCACCAGCUCGACGUCCAGAAUGCCUUCCUGCAUGGCACUCUUUCCGAGACAGUCUACUACACUCAGCCCUCCGGCUUUGUUGACCCGGCUCGCCCAGAUCAUGUCUGCCGGCUCAACAAAUCAUUGUACGGGCUGAAGCAGGCUCCCCGUGCUUGGUACAGCUGCUUCGCCGCACACCUGCUGACUCUGGGGUUCCUGGAGGUAGGGCUGGGCAAAAAAACCCGAGAACCGAGAACCGACCCAAAGUUACCGAGAACCGGUAUCGAAGGAACCGGAACCGAAGAAGUUCGGUUCCUGUUCGGUUCCAUGCUCUAAGAAACCGAAGUUUCUCGGGAUAUUCGGUACUUGGGCUCGGUUCUCCCGAAGUACCGAAAUUCAGCCCAUUGGACAUUUAGACCCAAUGUAACUUAUGUAAGUUCGGCCCAAGUUCCGCCCCCUCUCGGGCUCUCGGCCUCUCCCUCCCGGCCUCCCCCAGAGGCCCAGACCCCCAGUCCCCCCCCAGCCCCAGCCCCCUCUCCCUCUCCCCCCACGCGCGCCGCGCCGCCGCCCCGGCGCCCCCUCUCCCUCCCCCGGUCCCCCCGCGCCGGCGCGCCGCCCCCUGGCCCUCUCCCUCCGCCCCGGCUGGUCCUCCCCGCGGCCCGCGCGCCGCCCCCUGCCCCCCUCUCCCUCCCGGCCCCGCGCGCCACCCCCUCUCCCUCCCCCCCCCCGCGCGCUGCCCCCUCUGGCCUCUGGCCCUCUCCCUCCCCCCCCGGGCCCCCGCACGCCGCCCCCUCUCCCUCCUCCCCCCCCCCGCGCGCUGCCCCCUCUGGCCCUCUGGCCUCUGGCCCUCUCCCAGUCUCCCUCCCCCCUCCCCCCCGCGCGCGACCUCCCCCAGCCCUAGUCCCCCCGCGCGCCGCCGCGGCGCCGCCCCUGCUCGGCCUGCUCCCUCCUACUUUUCAAGCUCCACAACGGCUACAUCAAUUGCAUCUUGAAACUUCGGUUCCUUCGGUAAGUACCGGAACCGAACCAAACUACCCGGAACCGAAGUUGGUCGGUUCCUGCCUCUAAAAAUAAUCGAUCGGUACCAAUUAUCUGGGAACCGAAGUUCUGUAGCAACCGAGGAACCGAACCGAUCGGUUUGGUUCCUCCCGAAUGCCUAGCCCUACCUGGAGGCCAAGUCGGACACCUCCCUGUUCAUUCUUCAGCGGGGUUCUGACACCGCCUUUCUGCUCCUGUACGUCGACGACAUCAUCCUGACUACAUCCACACCUGCUCUUCUUCACCGGCUCAUCGCCGCACUCCAGGGGUCCUUUCCGAUGAAGGACCUCGGUCCCCCUCCAGCAUUUUCUUGGGGUCGCUGUCACUCGCUCUGCUGCCGGGAUGCUCCUCUCGCAGCGCCAGUACACCUUCGACAUCCUGGAGCGUGCCGGUAUGACUGAGUGCAAAUCAUGCAGCACUCCGGUGGACACUCAGGCUAAGCUCUCCUCGGAGGGCUCUCCUGUUCCGGAUGCGACGUUCUACCGCAGCUUGGUUGGGGCUCUCCAGUACCUCACCUUCACUCGCCCCGACAUCAGCUACGCGGUGCAGCAGGUCUGCCUCUACAUGCAUGAUCCACGGGAACCGCACCUCCUCACCGUCAAGCGCAUCCUGCGCUACCUUCGUGGCACCGUCGAUCUUGGCCUCUUCAUCGCCCGUACGCCCUCGCGAGCACCCUGACCGUCUACACGGAUGCUGACUGGGCCGGCUGUCCGCACACAUGUCGCUCCACCUCGGGGUAUGCCGUGUUUCUCGGUGACUGCCUCGUCUCCUGGUCCAGCAAACAUCAGCAUACCAUCCCUCGCUCCAAUGCUGAGGUCGAGUACCGCGCCAUGGCCAAUGGCGUGGCCGAGGCGACAUGGCUCCGUCAGCUCCUCCUGGAACUCCACCAGCCCCUACAGCGUGCUACAGUCAUCUACUGUGAUAAUGUGAGUGCUGUCUACCUCUCGACAAACCCGGUGCAACAUCAGUGCACCAAGCAUGUUGAGAUCGACCUUCACUUCGUCCGAGAACGUGUCGCUGCUGGGGCUGUGCGUGUUCUUCAUGUUCCGACUACCUCGCAGUUCGCCGACAUCUUCACCAAGGGCCUCCCUUCAUCUGUGUUCUUGGAGUUUCGGUCCAGCAUGAACGUUCGCUCCGCCGACGUUCCUACUGCGGGGGAUGUUAGACAGAGGAUUUCUCGGCUCCUGUAAUCACGGCCGCCCUCCCAUCUUGUUUCCAUAAACAGGCAGAGGCUUGGCUAUUUAGGAUUGUAAUCAUCCAUCGAUCAAUCCAAUGUGUGAUUACCCAAAUACUCCAUAUUUUCACUAAAGAUCCAGGUGCUGAAGCCAGGAGAGCGCCAAGGCAAUGUCCCCAGCAGGAAAUACGGCGCCAAAGAUGUCACCCUUGUCCACCGGAUGCACCGAGCAGAGCUUUCGCCUAGCGCCCCCUACCUGCAGCCACAAGCCUCUAUGCCCGCCAUGGCUACCACCAACAAGACUCGCCAACCUGCCAGCACCCCUGCCACCAACCUACCACCGGCCCCUUCCACGCGCGCAGCCUCCUCCCUAUCGCACGGCCUCCACCUUGCCGCGCAGGCCUCCACAGGCGCCCAGCCGCCUCCCACCGCCUCCACAACUCCUUUGCCGAGGAAAGGUGGCCCGACGACGCCCACACCACCACCUCGUUGCUGCCAGUGUGUCCCAGCGCAAGGCGUCCCUGCUGCGCCACUAUGGCGUCGCUGGCACGCCUCGCACAGGCCACCCCAACCGGACCACCACGCCGCCGCCUUCAAGAGGAGCUGCUGAGUAGAGGAGCCUCAUUGGGCACGGCUGCCGCGGCCACGCACGUCUUCAGGGCCCCCCCGGCCGACGGCCUCGCCGCCCCAGGCUACCACCACCGUGGUCGCCUCCACAUCCGUGUACGCACGCCUUGGGGCCUCGCAACCUCGUCGCCCAUGCCUGCGCGCUCAUGGAGUCACCACGCCCAAGCCCGUCUCCUGCUGGCCACAGUCUGCAGGUCACCGUCCUCGUCCAUGUGAAGCACCCCGCCCCGCUCCUGGGAGGAGCCAGCCGCCUCGCCCGUCGGUGGAUCCAGCCACGGGGACACCAGAUCCGCGCACGCCGGCGCUGGAUCCAGCCUUCCAGGCCGGCGCCGCCACGAGCUGCCCGCUCUGUCGGUCGAGGUGGCCGCACCCUCCUGACGCGAGGGAGAAGGGGGCCCUCACCGCCGCCGUCCUUGCAAGCCGCACGGACUUCCGGCAGCUGGCUCGAGCGGCGGCGCGGCGAAAGGGAGGGAGGGAGGAAGGGGCGGCGGCGGCGGUGUUCCACCCGCCCGGGUCACCCACGCGGGAGCGACGCCGGUGGGAGGGGGGGCGACACUAUACAGGUUUGACUCUCGAGUCUGUCCAAAUCUGACGAAACAUAUGCAGAAUGUGUAUAAGUAAUGCAUCGAUCUGAGGUUCAGAAUCUGAAUGAAGGGAAGAUGACAUCCAAGAAUAAAAAUGUUUGCUAAGAGAUGCUGCAUUCACCGGGCAUUCAAACAAGGAAAACUGAAGCCAUCUCAAAAGUUCUAUGGUUACGAUACCACCCUGGCAAUUCAGACAUGGAUAGCUGGAGCCAAUGUAUACUCUCAAAAAUGCAGUGGGUACAAGGACUUCAUCCGGUAAGGUGAAGAUUGGGUCUCUAUCCACCCUGUAUUUCUUUUGCUUGAGCUUCGGCAAUGCCAUUAUUCGGGGAGGAACUUCAGAUCCUGAAGAUACCAGCACGCUCGCGAUAUUCCUCAGGAAUGGCUCGCCCUCUGUGAACAGCGUGAUGAUCUCCCAAGAUCUGCCGGCUCUUCCAGAUCGUCCUCAGGAACGAUAAGGUCUUUCAGUAUCCAGGUGCCCCCACCAGAUGCACAAAUGCAAACAGCCUAAAUGCAACAGCAAGCUAGUGGAAAUUUGACAAUCCAUUAAUCACAAAAGUAAUUAUAAUAGCAAUAAGAAUCUCUUUCACAGCGCAUAAGAAUACAUGGGAUUUGGGAUACGGGACUCGCUUUCACUCCAACAACUCUGGACCUAGCAACUCAAGUAAAAGAAAAGGACACCACAACAACACAACUACAAUACAAUCUGUAUCCAUGAUGAUGAUGGGGUGCUUGUCAGCUUCGACGGAUGGCCAGCAGCUGUUUGGCCGUCGCCACAAGGGAGGACAAGGGCAUGCGGGCCUCCAUCAGCCCUACAUCGCCCAGGAAAAGGCUGUAGUUCUCGGCCUCCGAGGCUGUCUCUUCCACCAUGGACAGUGCUUCCGCCAUGCGGCGGUCGAUGAAGCAGUUCGCAUAGCAGGAGUCAUGUUCCAUCAUGUUUAUGGCUUGCUCGAGUAUCACCCUCCUGAUCCCGGGGCAGUGAGUGCUGGGUUCCAUGUUUGCGUUCAGGGCGUCUACGAGCCGCUUCACGAAUAUAUCCUUGAGAUGGCCGUCUUCUAGUUCCCGGGCGAAGUCUCGUGGAAUGACUUUGCAUAUCUGUGAACUAAGGCCAAUGAAAAUCUCUAGUUCUGCCUCCUCGUCUGCAACCAAUAUUAUUUCCAAUGCCUGCAAGGAAGGGAACAUCAAUGCAACGUAUUUUGAUUAACUCAUGAUCAUUAAACAUCUGCCCCUAGCUAAGAAUUUCAACCGAACAUAUUUGAAAGGCUAUAGUUAUACCUGUCCACUUAACUGCUAAUGUAAAAUUUUCACAUGCAUUUGCUCAGUAUUGCAACUACAAACUUUGAUAUGAGUCAGCAUCAUUAUGGUACCCUUGAGAGCUAACUCUAUGCUUUAAAGAAAAACAAAAGGCUAACUCUAUGCUUUCCUAAACUCUUUCCUAAAUACUAAUAACCACCUAAUGUAGAAACUUGUUUAUAUUUUUAGGGUAAAGUCCGGUUUGCACCCUCGAACUAUCGUAAAAGUUCAAUUUUCAACUUUCAACUAUAAAACUGGAUACCAUAAGCCAUCCAACUGCCGAAACGGACAAAUUUGACCCUUAGAGUGGUUUCGAAGGUGAUUUUGAUUUUUUUAAAAAAUAAAUAAAAAUCUAAUUAGAUGUAAAAAAUAAAAACUAAUUCAUCUUAAAUCAGAAAAAUAUGAAACUAGUACCAAAUUUUUUCUAAAAAUGUAACCUAUCUAUCAUAGCUCUAUUUGAAUCUUACUUAUUUAAAAAUAAUAGACAUAACUAUAAGCAACCAAAUACUAUGAAUAUGAAAAAAUUGAAUCCGAAUAACUGAUAAGAAUAGUGCCAAUAGAUAGGUUAUAUUUUAGAAAACUUUUGAUACCUAUUUCAUAUUUUUUUAUUUAAGAUGAAUUACUUAUAAAAAAUUUUUAAUUUAAAUUUGAAUAUUUUUUAUUUUCAUAAAAUGGAAAACUAUCUUUGAAACCAUCCAAAGGGCCAAAUUCUUCUGGUUUCGACAGUUGGAUGGCCUAUGUUGUCCGGUUUUGUAUUUGAAUGUUGAAAAUUGAACUUUUAUGGUAGUUUGACGGUGUAAAUCAGAAUUUUUCCAUAUUUUUAUCAGCUUUUCUCAGCCAGACUGAUAGACACAAUUCACAAGCACCACUAUAGGCCACCCAAAUAAAAUUAAUAAGUAUCAGUUGAAGAAAAAUCACAGCUAACAAACGUAAAGAAAAAGAGUUAAAAGAGCACAUAUAGGCUAAUGGUAAAUUGCACCACUUAGCUUUGAUUAGUAGAAGUCACCUGUCUCAAGCAGUAAGAUAGUUCCAUCAGGUCCGGCUCUUUAAGCUCAGGUCGAGCGUGGUGGCAAAUAUUCCGCAACAGACUUGCUGCCACGCAUCUGUACCUGUCAAUAUGGAUCAUACUUGUGAGUACCCCAAUGAACUCAUGCCCUGUUUCCCCUAACAUGGCCACACAGUUGUUGACACUGUCCAUUGCCAACAUUGCCAGUGCCUGCCCGGCCACCUCCCGUAGCAACUUAUCAGCCUCCGUACUGGAGGGUCUGUCUGGUUUGAGAAAUGCCUGCAUCAACAAGGUAAUUAUCACUUGGAUGCGCCCAAUCGCUUUCCUUGCGUUCUCAUCAAUGGCAAGGUUUCUGAUGAUUCCUUCCACCAACGUUCUUACUUCUUGGCUGCUCGUACCGUCUCCCAGGAUCUCCGCAAGGUUUCUCAGGAGAAAGGGAUAUUUAAAUACCAUAUGCCGCAACGUUAUGCCAAUUUCCCCUUCAACACUGGUGAGCCUGUGCAACAACUUCGCUGAUGACUUCACUAGGACCUUCCGUUGUGCGUCGGUAUAUGUGGUGCCACUUCUUCUGCAGCUUGUGAAUGCUAUGAUCUUGGGGAUGAGACCACUUGCCCUGCUGAUUUCCAUACAAUUUCCUUGAUCACAGCUAGCAAGGUCAUCGAGAAUUAACAUGGCCAGUGCAGGUAGAAGAUCUUGCUCUGUCAAUGGUUCCUCCUGAGGAAUUGACCAGAACUUGGAGAUCCCUUGACAACAUCUGAAUAUCCUGGACUUCUGUUCGGCAGUUCCAACUUGCUGGGUUGAGCGGUCUUGUGUUUCCAUUAGGAUGGCAGUGUCUGGAGCCGCAUCAAGCCUUUCCUCUUGGUUAUCGUCGGCAUUCAGAACUGAAUCAAGUAUUUUCUCAUGUCCAACUUUGGUGUCCAAUAGUGGGUUUCCUCUUUUCUGUUGGUUGCCGCAUUCCAGAAGCGCAGAUACAACCUGAAUAAUCCCAGGUACAGUUACAGCUCGGAUGCUUGUUGCGAGCUCAACGGUGACUUUUGCAGCAAACAAUCUAACAGUUGUAUCCUGUGGGCUUCUCCAGUCCAGCAUGUUGACUAACCUGGCCAUCGUUUCCAUAGACCCGUUGAGUUUCAAAAUGAACCAUCUCCUAGCUGGCUGCUUCUGCAGAAGACAGUGCAUCAUCCGAAUCCCAUGGCGCUGCAUCUUAGGCGUUUCUGAGUUUACAGAAUCGACAACAAAGUUGUUGAGGUUGAUCUCCUUUGGAGCAAGCACAUCCCCCUGCAUGUAUUUCUCAAAGGCAUAUGCAUAGUAAAGAUUGACAGACUCCAGUCCCCACUGACCUCCGAAGCCACCACGACGAGCAAGGGAUCUUCGAGGGAUGAAAGAAAAUAGCUCGAGUAUGCAGGCCACACUGUAUAGUGUUCCUUGACCAAGCACCAUCCCGUAGAAUAUAUUUAGGGAUGGUGCAAGGUUUAUCUUGGCCCCAUCCCCAGGGUCACUAUUGUCAAUCUUCUUGACAUUAUCACCGUAGUAGUCUUGUGAUACAAGACGUAUUAGUGCGAGCACCACGCGCACAAUUGCUGCUGGAAUCUGUAAAUUGCCCAAUGACACUAUCGCUGCAGCAAUUAAUUCAAUUGUGAUAAUGCCCAAAGGAAAAUCGUCUUGAGAAGCAAAAGGCAACAGCACUCCUGUAGUAAGCAUGCACGAAUUCAAAAUGAUUCCAUGCCAAAACUCUUGUUUGCUGCCCAGAGCAUGAUCAACUAGUUUGAUUAUGCAUGGAAACCGCAGCCUGCUGAUCGUCAAAAGGAGCAGAACCAGAAAUAGUAGUACGGACGCUACCAAUUCGGCCAUUCGACUGGUGUCAAUUCCUUCCUUAGUUAUUGCACGGAACAGAAUGAGGCCGAGAAAUAAAAUUGGAACGAAGGGGCCCAAUAACGAUAUGGCACGGCGUAGCAGAUCGCCUCUGACUGACGACGUUGCAGGUUCUGGGAACAACCGGACUACUGCAGGUGUAACCAGCAACACCAGUGCAGGCCAUGCUGGCAGAUUCAAGGAGACCAAUAAUACGAAAACGCCGGUAAAAAUUGCAACCACAGUCAGCCCAUUCCAUCCAAGAGGUUUUAAAGCACCUCUUGUGUGAAAGAACAAUUGGUAAUCCAAUUUGUUAUUGCGGCUAAACAUCCUGCAGUACAUAUGGUGCCAUUAAAGAAGGAAGCUACGUAUAUGUAUACAGAUAAAAAUUACCCGCAGAAAAAUAUAGAUAAAAAAUUAAAGGCUCGUAAAUCAUAUUAUUAUUUUCGAGAAACUUGGUGUGACGACAUGCAUAACUAUAUCGAUCGAUCUGCAACAGGAUUACAAGCAGUAUAAUUUGUAUAUCGUCGAAAUCUAUCGUAGUGCAUGAUGAUCGAUUUGCUUACCUUGCUGCUUCUAGGAAAACUAUGGUGGUUGCGAACCAAAAGUCGCAGUCUUGGCGGAGCACCGUGGGAUAGCCCCCCAGCAGGACGACGGUAGCCCAGGUGAAGGCGAGCGUGCCGAAGGCGUUGCCCAGCCGCUCGAUCAGCGCGACCGCGCGGACAAAGCCGUUCAGCUGCUUCUCCGGCGGCGUGUCUCCCGUGCCCGCCUGCCCGCCGCCGUGAGCCGACAUGCCGACGUGGUGCUCCCCUACGGUGCUCUGGAGCCAUGGCUAGCUUGGCGCGCGGGCCGGGAGAGGCUUAAAGUGCAGCUCGCACCCAGGAGUCGCGACGAUUCGAUGCGACCACUCCUGCUACGCAAUAAUUAAGUGGAUUCAGCCAACGGCUCAAGUCGUCCGGCCGGCUUAAACUUAAGGCCACUUUAGAAAAGCCUACUCCACUCCACCAACCCUACGAAAUUAUAUUACAAACUAGGUAAAAGCCCGUGCGGUGCGGGCACACAAUUUUUGAACAAAAUAAAAUAAUUUUAAAUAAAUAUGGUAAGAAGAUAAUAGAUAUAUUUGUCUAAGUCAUAAAUUUUAGUAGCAAAAUACAUAUUAAUGAUGAUGGAAAGAAAGUGUAUCCAAUAUGCCAAAUAUCUUAAACUUCGGGUACAAUUUUCUAAGAAUCACCUUGUUUAGAGAUGAGAAACGGUUGAUAUUUUACAAGCAGAAAAAUAUCAUAAUUUAACAACAACAAAAAACACAUAGACGCUCUUGGUUCAGAAAGUCUAUGCAGGUCCAACCAGCCAGUCCAUCACCUUGUGAUCCAUCAUGCACUAACAAGGCUCUCCGGGGUUAGAGCAGUCCACGACCUCUCCGAGCUCAAACUUGGAGUUCCAGAGAAAGACCUUAAGAGCUGUGAAGCUUUUUCAAGAAUAAUGCUGGAGAUUGCGGAUGUCUCAUAACCCGACAUGUCCAGGUACUCAAACUCCUCUAGGCAAUCAAGAAACAUUAUUAUCGCAGAGGUAGACAUAUCUGAACUUGGUAUCUCGGGCUUCUUUAGCUGAGGAAGAGAGUUACAGCUUAGCAAUAGAUUGAUGUAUCAACAUAGCAAUAUCUCAUAAAGAUACUUGUGUGGUACAUCAAUUUUAUUCUAAAUAGGCAUAAUAAAAUUUAGAAUAUCCGGACAGAAUUGAUUUUGGAGUUCCUUUUGUCAAUGGUCCGCAUAUGGUAUUCGCAUGUAAAUCUCUUAGAACAGACGUCUUGGAGCUCAUGUAUGACAUUCAUCUUGGUAUAUACAACAAUAAAGAAGUUGAACUUAAUGAAUGAGAAAACACCAAAAAAUAAACCGCAUUAUAUAGAGAUAGCUUAGCUAAGGUCUUAGUAUUUAUCAGUUGUACAGUUUGGUCAAAAGGGACAUUAAUUUAGCCCAUCACUGAUACACUUCCUGGAUCAAUCACAACCCACCUUGAAUUAGCGAAAAUACCAGCAUUCAUCAAGUCCAGAAGAGAAUAGACUAACCAAAUCAAAUCUAAAAUUAGUCAAUGCUGCUGCUAUCAGUGUGGAAAGCUGCAGGCACAACUGAUGUAGGCUGAACCAGGCUUACCACUGUAUAUCAAUGAGCCAAUAGUACUAACUCUUAAACUCUGUUUUCCCUCCUAUAAAUAACCCGUGCCACGAUUAAUUCAGAUUAGCCAGAAAAUUUUCACAGCCUUACACACUUACACUUACGUCAAUCAAAUAAUGUAUUAAUGUUUCAUGUGUGUUCUAUUGGUCGAACAAAAGUAAAAGUGUCGAUGAACAUUUGGAAUCUGAAAGAAUCAUGAGCCCGAUUCCAUUGCCCAAAUCUGAGGGUAAAUAGAUUAAAGCAAUAGAAAAUGGAGAAGAAAAAGAUCCAUGAGCUCCCAAUAAUUUAUGCUAACUUGAUUCUACCUCAACCUUCCUCUCAAAUCUUAUUGGAAUAGCAGAAAGAACAGACUGGUGAUGAACUCAAUGCUGACCACAACAUGUUUGUUAACCCAUUUAUUAGCACAACUCAUGGAACCUGAAAUGGCGCCAUUGGUACCCGAUUUUUUUUCUUUCCUUUGUCGCGCCACCAAACUACCUUGAAUUGGCACUGGUGGUACGUGCAUAGGCACGCUCCGAUCAUAGAAAAUCUGCAUACUUUCAAUCGUCGAAUCUAUGUAAAAAGUGGACAAAAGUCUAUGGCACCUCCCUGAACCGAAACUGUUGCUUGCUGCUUGGACAGAAACGUGUGCCUGGACCAUGUGCGGGCAUGAGGAGGGCAGCCACACUCUGACUUUGGCAAUUGGCAGUAGUGGGGGGACAUGGACGGACACAUGGUGCAGGGAGCUUGCAUCUAUGCCGGAGGCCUACACCAUUUUAGCAACCUGGCGGAUAGCCAGCGUCGUCGAAAGUAGCCAUGGAAGGCUGGAACCAUAUGCGUGCCGGAUUGCCGGCCGGGGCCGCCGUGGGCGAGCGCCACACAAGGUGCCCGCGCGCUGUCUGCAACUCUGCUCUGCCUAGCGAGGUCCCGCCGCGCCCAACAGAGCGAGCUCACUCGAGAGCUAGCAGCGUGGGGGAGUGGUCGGUGGAGCCCCCGCGCGCGUGAGCGGGCGGGGCACUCGCAUCGCGCUCCCUCCCUCGCUGCCGGACGUGUGGCCAGUGGCCACGUAAAGGCACGGGCCGGCCGCGUCAGGGGAUAGGAAAGGAGUGGCGCGCAGGCGCAGCGCACUGUGGCGGCCGGCGCGGGCACGGGCGCGGCGCGGCGCGAAACCGGCCGGGCCGGUGGGCGCCGCGUCGCACUGGUGCCGCCGCGUGCCCCCGGGGCCCAGCUACGAACGAAACGAGUGGCGGCGCCGGGCGCUGCUGCUGGUCGGUGGGGUGCCGCGGCCCGCCGCGCUCAGGGCGCUACUAGCUAGUGGCCUAGUGCGCUUACCAACCAGACCCGGGCCGUGCCGAUCCGAUCCCGACCACAACGAGCUCCGGCGGUGGCGUGCCCGUGCGGCCGUGUCGACGCGCGGCGCCCGAGCUCCCAGCCCUGGUGAGCGAGCACGCACUAGGCGUGCGUGCGUCAUGCGUGCGUGUGACCGUGGCAGUGAGGGUUGUUGGUCGGUUACUGGGACAACGCUGGUCACAGCCGCGUACUAGGGACUACGACAUCCACAUCGGGCUCGAAGCGACUGUGACGGCCGGCGUUCUGUUCGUCCGGUUCGGGAUCCAGUCUACUCCAGCCGGUUUACUAGUAAGAGUCUGCGGCGGCGGCGGCGGCGGCUCCCUGAUUCCCCUCGCGGUCGCCGAUCGGAGCGCCCGGCGUCGGCGUUCGUGGAAUUUACCUCUCUGGCUCCGGCGGCAGCCUCUCCACGCAGCCUUCAGAGCGAAUCGAUCCGAGAACGCUGCUACUUACUUCCCGUUAAUUCCAAGCGAGCGCGAGCGCGUGCGAGCACGUUGUUGACGCUGCUCUCAGUCUCGGUCUCACGAUCUUUUGCACGGUGGUGCUGCUGCUGUAUGGCUAGCUAGAUGGCUAGUGCUCGUUCACGUCUCUGGGUUAAGCUUUUCGAUCGUCGUCGUUUCUAGAACUCUGAAGGCAGGAAAAAAUCAAGGAUGCGCUUGCUUUAUCCGGAUCAUCGACAGGAAUCGCGAUCCGAUAUUUUAUAAAAACACCCCUAGUAUUUUUCAAAAAAAAACCUCUUCUCCUCCGUCUGGGUUCGUUCUCCCCUCCCCAAGCAAUCAUGCGUGCGCCCCCUCGCAUGAUAGCCUACGGACCGAAGGAUCAUAGGAGACGCCCCUAUCAGCUAGACCAUCAUGACGCCGGGACCGGUGUCCGCGCCGGUCGCAGCAUCCAAGCUUAUCACGCAAGACAGGUCGUACCGGCCGCCCUCCUCUACCAGGCGUAGGGUAACGAUCAGCAGGGCGCCUCGACCUCAGAAGGGAGGUCCGGGCCCUCACCGCCGACAGGAGGGCCGCCCCCGGCGCAACAGGGGCGAGCCGCAAAGCACGACGGCGCCACUCCCUGCCACAGGGAUGGCGGACAAAGACCGGAGCCUUGCCAGGCGGCGUCGCGGGAUUGGUGAGCAGGACCCGGCAUCGGGACACAGCGAGGCACGACCGACAGAAGGGCCCGGGACAAGAUAAGUGUAGCAACGCCGAUCUCUCUCCCGGGAUGUCGACCUCGGGAGGCGAGCACCUCUUUCUCACGCAUUAUAGACUAGCCCACGGGCAUAAGGCGGAGCUCACUCCCACCGCUAGGAGCUAGCACCCAGUAUUCUGAUACGAGGAAUACCAAGAACACCACUUACACUGGACCUACUUAGCGCAUUUGCCGCUAAAUUUACAGCCCAACGAACAAACACCAACACAACCAUUAUUCUAUUAUAAAAAACCUAAUGUUCUAAAGCUCAUUUCAAUUAUCAUUUUGCUGUUCAGUCCCUCUCUACAUACCUGUGGGUCAUACAUAAACACCGAUAAACCAUGCUCACUACUCACCACAUUAGUUCAUUUUUAUUAAUCAGAGGUCACCUAGCAAUUAUAAAUGCAAAAUAGUGAUUGAUACAAUAAGCAAAAACAACAAGCAUUAGGGAAGAAACAAAGUAGGCAAAAGCUAGACCAAGGAUGGUAUAUCUACUGAAUUUUGAUGAAGUUACUCUUGGGUACAUUAAACAUAGAUCUUUGUUCUAAAUCAUUUAAAUUAAAAAACAGUGAACCUUGAAAUGAUAACGAUAGCAGUCCAUAAAAAAUGUACAUGGACUAACCUUUUCUCCUUGGAAAUCUAAUUUCACAGUAUGUAUGCUUGCAGUAUCACUCAGAACUUCACUUGACACACAUCUUUGAUGAAUGAUGAUCCUCUUGGGCAAGGAAUAUGAGGUAUAAUUCCUUCAGGGAUGGAUUGACACCAAAUUAGGGGGGGGGGGGAUGGGGCCGAAGUAUCCCCCUCGAGAUGCUCCAGUUCUGGCAGGCGAACAACCUCAAGUCUUCCGUACAGGCAAAAAUGGAGUUUUGAGUUCGCUGCAUCUACUUUUUGUGCCCCAUUCGAUUCUGGAUCACAGUUUGAGAGAUACAGGUGGUAAAGCAGCUGGCAGCAGCCAGAACAGUCAAAUAGGUGAUGAUUGAUGUGUUGAUGCCCCAUUUAGCAAAGCGCAAGGUGUGUAGAGACAGUCUUACGAGGCAAUGAAAUAGGCUACGAUAAGACUGCCUCCAACAACGGGCAGGCAAAUUGGCUAUGCAUUUCAACAUUUAGCUGCCCCCUGCAAUUUGCGUGGCCAGCUAAGACCAUCUGCAGCCCAUCCCUGUAUCUCGUUUCGGUAUCCUUUGGCGGAACGAUUUAGCGAAAAAAAGUACGCAGCCGGUUCCGCCACGGUCUCCACUACGCUGGAGUAGACUCCCGGUUCCGGCAAAUACAGCGGAAUCCUUUCGUUCCUCCAUCGGUCCAUCCCCUGUUGCGAUGUCAUCUCUCUCCCCCAGCCAAGUAUCUCGCGCGCUCGGCUGGAAGGGCGAAGGCGGAGGCGGAGCGCGGGCGAGGAGGUCCAAUCUUGGCGACUCUCCGGUUGGGCGCCCUGGAGAGGAAGACGGCGUGCAAGGCGACGGCAGCGGGAGGCGCUGCAAGCCUGGAGGAGCCAUGUCCUCUUCGUAGAUCUGAGGAGUGCGGCGGCGGAGGAGGGAGCGGGGCUUUCCCGGCCUACGAAGGGAAGGCGAGAGAGGAGAGCUCGCCUGAGAAGAAGUUGCCGGUGCCGUCCGUGCAGGCUGGGAAGCGGCAGCGGCCAGAUCCAGGCGGAUCCCGUACCUCGUCGGACGAGAGCUCCACCGGCCAUUCAGAGCGGGGGCGACGAAGCCGCAGGUGCGUUUUUCCUUCUCUGUGUGUUCGUUGUAUUUGGUUGCAUGCCGAUCUGGUAGGACAUGGAACCAGUGGCGGAGGAUGGCCAAAAAAUGAGGUGUGGCGGGUGGCGGCGCGCCGGCGGCGGGGCAGGGGCGGGCUGCGGGGGCGCCGCGCGCGGGGGGUGGGGCGGCGACCUGGGGCGGCGCCGGGGCGGGGGGCGGCGACUUGGGCCGGCGGGGGGGGGGGGGGUGGGGCGGCGCGCCGGGGCGGGGGGUGGGGCGGCGCGCUGGGGCGGGCGGCGACCUGGGGUGGGGCGGCGCACCUGGGGCGGGGGCGGCGACCUAGGGCGGCGCGCCGGGGCGGGGGCGGCGACCUGGGGCGGGGGGCGGCGACCUGGGGCGGCGGCAGGGCAGGGGCGGGCUGCGGGGGCGCCGUGCGCUCGGGGUGGGCCGGGGGGGGGGGUGGGGCGACACGCCGGGGCGGGGGGCGGCGAUCUGGCGGCAACCGGGAAGAAGAACACGAAGGGGGAGGAGGAACUGAGGAGGAAGGGCGGCAUGGUAACUUGGACGAGUUGAAGGCGGCGUCGGGAUUGCAGUUCUGCGAGUUGAAGACGAAUCUGUAGAAAAUGAAUGGACGAUUGUAGGUUUCUUUGAAUAGGCUUGAAGUUGGAUUUGUUCCCACAUUUUCAGGAUGGACCCAACCCAAUUCCAGCAGCCUGAUAGAAAUAGGCAUGGUGGCAAUCCUCCGUACCAAGGCGGCUUGAACCCGUACGUGUUUAUGUACCAGACCGGCCCAAGUGCUUGGAACCCCAAUCAGGUCAUGCAUCCGGGAAUGCCUCCCAUGACUGCAGCAGGUAUGUUUCCCAUGACUGCAGCAGGUAUGCCUCCACCCAAUGCUGGAGGUAUGCAUCCACACAUGUCACCACAAUUGCAGCCUUCAGCAAAUGUAGAUGAAAUGCACAAUCCAACGGAUGACGAGGUAGAGGAGGUAGCAAUUGUUGGUGGUCCAUCAAAUGGAGGUAGGAAAAGAGGGGGCAGUAAUACCAAAUUGGCCAACUUUGCAGUAGAGGAAGAUGUCAACAUUGUGAGGUCAUGGCUAGAGAUAAGUUGUGACCCAAUUGUGAACACUGGCCAGAAGAGAGACAACUUCUGGGAUCGUGUUAUGAAACAAUACAAUGGGAGGCGGGGUUCAUUCCCAAAAAGGACGUUGAGGUCUGUCCAGUCUCGCUGGGAUAAGAUCAAACAAGAAGCAACGAAGUUCACUGGGUACGUGGCAAAGGCUAUUCGGGAUGACGCUAGUGGGACAUCGGACGCUGAUAAGGUACGCCAUUGUUUGUGAUUGCUGCGAUCGGUGCUCGAUUGUUGAUGUAAUUUCAGUUCUAUUUAUUGUUAAUGUUCUGUGACUCCUAUGUCCACUUGCAGACAACCUUAGCAGCAUCCGACUUUGCUGCUAUUGAGGGAUACAAUUUUCAGUUCAUGCAUUGCUGGGACCUGAUGAAGGAUGAGCCCAAAUGGCAAGACGUAAAGCAGAGAAGUUCGAAAACAGUUGGUUCUAACACUAUUGACUUGGAUGGGGAUGAGGCAUCACCAGCAGGCACCGGCAAGAGGCCAAUUGGUAGGGAUGCAGCAAAAGCUUGCAAGAAGAAGUGUCCAUCUGGAUCGACAUCAUCUUCGGAAUACGCUUCCAAUCUGCAAGACCUCUCAUUGCAAAAGAUGACAAUGUGGCAAGAAGAAAAUUCAAAGAAAGUAAACCGCUUUGACCAUCUUGCAAGUAUUGAAGAAAAGAGGUUCGAUGAGAUGCGUGAACACAACAAGUCCAUCCUACAGCUUGAGGAGGAGAAGAUAAAGAUCAUGCGCGACAAACUCAAUAUGCAGAUGCAAGAGAAGGAGAGGGAGAGACUUGAAAGAGAGAAGCAAGAAGAUGAGAGGAUUCUUAAGGUGGACCUUGAUUCUUGCGCACCUGAGCUUCGCAUGUAUUACGAGGCGCUUCGUGAGGAGAUACUGCACAAGGUGUCAGCAAGAAGGCAGAGGAGCCGCCAAGUGUGAACUAUCAUUUAUUUGUUGUAAGUCUUGAACUAUCAUUUAUUUAUUUGUGUGUUGUAAGUCUUGAACUAUUUAUUUCUUGUAAGUCUUGAACUAUCAUUUAUUUAUUUGUGUGUUGUAAGUCUUGAACUAUCAUUUAUUUAUUUGUGUGUUGUAAGUCUUGAAUUAUUUAUUUGUUGUAAGUUUUGAACUAUUUAUUUGUUGUAAGUCUUGAUCAGUUUAUUUUAGAUUUGAACAGUGAGAUUUAUCUGGUGUGCCCUCUUGUGAGUGCAAUACAAGAUAAUACACAUUUUUAUUUAAUUGCCAUACAAGCUGACCUUACAAACUGGACAUACAAACUGACCUUACAAACUGGACAUACAAACUAACCCUUACAAACUUGACAUACGAACAUAUAAUGAUCGCUAGAGAGUACACAUCCUUAGAAUACAAAUAUUCAUUACACAUACAAAUAAGCAUACGCAUGCUACUCUGCAUUGACUCCCAACCUUGCCCACUGGUGCUCAAUGAGAUCGUACUGCAGUUGGUGGUGUGCAGUCCUGUUCCGGAGCCUGUGCUGUGCCUGAAUGAACUCGUUCCUUUCUUGAGUGUUGCGGUAUGGGACGGCAAGCUGUCCUACUCGAUCGAAGCUUGUGUUUCGUGCACCUGGCCCUUCAUCUUCGACAAUCAUGUUGUGCAUUAUUAUACAUGCCUGCAUGAUGUCACUAAGAUUAGCACGAUCCCAACCGUAUGCUGGCCCACGCAACACACCCCACCUUGCUUGGAGGACACCAAACGCCCGUUCAAUGUCCUUUCGGGCUCCUUCUUGGCACUUAGCAAAGUGUUUGGUCUUUGUCUCCAUAGGGUGGCGAACGGUCUUAACAAAAGUUGGCCAUUCUGGGUAAAUCCCAUCGGCAAGGUAGUACCCCAUAUUAUAUGUGUUCCCGUUAACAGCAAAUGAAACCGGAGUCGCCUGGCCUUGGACGUACGAUGAGAACACGGGAGACCUAUGAAGCACAUUAAUAUCGUUGCAACUACCUGGCAUACCAAAGUAAGCAUGCCAGAUGUGAAGAUCCUUAGAAGCAACUGCCUCUAGGAUCAUGGUUGGAUGUUUACCGCGACCCGUAAACAUCCCUCUCCAUCCAAUUGGGCAGUUCUUCCACUCCCAAUGCAUGCAAUCGAUGCUACCUAACAUCCCUGGAAACCCACGGUCCUCGCCAAUCUGCAGUAGCCUAGCAACAUCAUUUGUAUUUGGAGCACGUAGGUAGUAAUCCCCAAAUACUUUGAUGACAGCCGCACAGAAGUGCUGUAGAGCUUGACGAGCUGUGGACUCACCAAUACGCACAUACUCAUCUACUGCGUCAGACGGCAAGCCAUAAGCAAGAAUUCGUAGGGAUGCAACGACCUUCUGAAGACCCGUCAAGGGUGUCUGAUGUAGUGCGUUGUAUUUGUACAUGAAGUAUGGGUAGACGGCCGUGACGGCUUCGACUAGGCGCUCCACCACAUGUCGUCGCAUCCGGAACCUGCAAAUCAAAAUAUCUUCAUAUGUUCACGAAUCAUAUAGAAUGAUAAGUUUGGUAUUUUGUCCAUACCUUCUAUGAAACUGAAAAUCGUUGUACACAGGCUUCUCGCAGAAGUAGUCCAGGCGGAUCCUCAUAUCCCCGGAACCAUGGUCUCGUGGCCGGAUUUCUUUGGGGGGCCUGUUAUUCCUACGACGAGAUCCUUCGGCCUCCUCUAUGGAGACCAACUCAAGCACAAGCUCGUCGUCAUCAUCAACCAUGGCGGUGAAGUCGUCCUCCUCUUCCUCCUCCAUCCUCCAAUACUUUGCCAACGAGCUUGAGCCAGGGUACGCAGCCAUUGGAUAUAUUGUGGUUAUGAACAAGCAUACAUGCAAGAGAGGUUGGCGCACAAUAUAUACUUCGCGAGUAGCCUACAGAGAAUAUAUUCGCUUCGUACUGGAGCACAAUUGCACGAGCAGCACGUAGAGAAUAUAUUCCCGCCGACGUGCCAAAAGUGACAGGAUAUGCAAGCCGAUAUGCAGGCCUUUGGGCACGGGCGAAAUGCUGGAGUACGAGACAUCCAAACGAUGAAGCCAUGCAACAGCCUUUGCACACCCACGGGCGAACUGCAUGCAGAUUCCAUGCAUGCUGGGUACAUAUAUUAUUUUUUAAGUGGAUGAAGGUAGUUGAUAGGAAAUGAAUAGAAUAAUUGGUAGUUGGAUAUGGAGGAAACAUUUACAGGAAUAGGAGUGCGAGAAAAGUUGGAGUAGAGUAAAGAAUCUUGCUGACUAGGCUAGAAUAUUCCUUUUAGAGGAAAAAUUUGGAGGAACAGGAGUGCGGAUAGCCUAAAACCUUCUGCACCCAACAAAGCAGCUAAAAUAGCUGUGGCCGUUGGCCCUAUUUAAUUUCGCGCCAAAGAAUGGACGCGUUUUGUUUUCUCGCUUCAACGGAGCCACGCCGCUGCAGAGCUUGUCCGCGUCGAGCGCUUGAAGAUGAGGUCUUGACGGUUGUGGACGGGGCAAAUGCCUCGCGUGCUCCCACCAGCCAGUUUGGUUGUUCUCUCUCUUCCCAUGUAUUUUGCCUGGCCUGAAUACCUGGCCCAUUGGAGACGCUACAAUACCCAUCAGCCAGCUAAAUUGCCUUUGCCUGUCCAAAUACCUGGCCUGUUGGAGCCAGUCUAAGGACUAAAAAAUGCCUCUCACAACACGAGCUUGCUACAUGCACAUGAGCCUGAAAAAAAAAGCAGAGACUUACAGAGUUGAUUCCAAUGGUAAUACUUAAACCCCAAUGAUGCACAACUGUGAGAGGGAAUUCUGGUUUUGGAUUGUUGGAGAGCGUGACGAAGGAAAAUUCCCUCCAACCAGCGAGCAGAUCGAACUCUCUGCAAUAAUCCGACUGAAGGAAGAAACCGAUCCAUGUUGUAUGGAUGGAAUGUUAGAUAACUAGGCAAUUUUCGGUAUAUUUUAAUUCCAAAUAUUACUAGCAAUUUCAUGAUAUAAUUGAGUGAUAAUGUGUGAAUAAGAUAUGUGUAUGUGUUCAUGUUAUUCUUACUAAUAAGCAUGAAUAAAGAGUUAAACCACAAUAGGUUUAGUAAGUACCCCAAUGCGGGAUCAGUGCUGAGGGCACCGGUUGCGCCGUUACCAGCUGUAAUAGACAUGCUAUUCGACUGGCCUUACUCGAAGUAGCCGAACUAUGUCUGUAACAUUCCAUGUUAACCUUUAGAAAGUUUGUUUAAUGAAAAUUGUGAAUUUCCAAAAACUUUUGCUAAUUAUCUUGGUUUGGAGGGAUUGAUGAAUUUUAUUUGAUUGGAUUUUGAAUUGCUUGAUUCAAAUUGUGUGGGAUUUGAAUUUGAAAGGGCAAAUCAAAUUCAAAUCCAAAGCCUACCCUAUAAUACCCCUCGUGGGCCACCAGCCCACCGGCCAACGCAGCCCCAGGCCCAGCUGACCUCUUCCCCUUUGCCCUUUUUCCUUCCCCGCACGACAUCGGCCCAGCGCCACCGGCCCAGCCCUUCAUCGCGAACCAUCGCGCCCCUUCGCCUUCCUUCCGCCCGGGGCAGCUGACGGGCGGGUCCCACCCGUCAGCUUUCCCCUUCCUCCUGACCGCCCGUGACCCCGGCUCCCGCUCGCUCGUUCCGCCUCGCGUCGCCGCUCGCCCCCGCCUCACGACAGGAUAGCGAAACCGCUGCUCCCCUUUUCGCCGCGCCCGCGCUCGCCUGCGUCAUCCCGCGCGCGCCUGUCUCCGCUCCGCGACAGCGCAGCACAACCGCCGCGCGCGCCCUUUCCCCCGCACCCCGACCGCCCGCGCCGCGAACCCUAACCCUAGCCGCGCUCCCUCCGCGCCGCGAUGCCGCCACGCGUCCCGGCGCGGACGCUAAAAAGCCCCGGCCGCAGUCGCACACGAGCCCCGGCGCCGCAUAUAAGAACCCUAGCUGCGCUCCUAAACCCUAGCCACCCGUGUCUCUUUUCCAUUCUGCCGUCGCCGCAUGAGAGGAAGAGAGAGGAGAGGAGGAGGAGGAGGAGGAGGAGAAGGGCUCGAGGAGGAGGACGCCGACGCCACCCCCGGAGCAUCACCGCGCCUGCACCCGUACGACGACACCGAUGCAGCCGCGCACCCUGCACGGCCUCGACCCGCCGGCCUCGCCUCUCCGCUACCCCGAGCGCCUUCUUCUUCAGCCCCGCCGAUGAGCCACACCGCCGCCAUCCUUUUCAUGUCCCCCUGCUGCCGGCGUGAUGCCUAGCGCCGCCGAGGAACCCUCCGUAGCCCAGCCGUAGGACCACCCUUCCCUUCCGGCCGCCGUGCCAUUCUUGUGCAGGGACCCGUCGCGCCGCCGUUUCCCCCGCUACCGCCGUCGCAUCAUCGCCGCCGCGUCGUGCCGCGGGCCUGGGGUGCCGGUGCCCCGCGCACGGCACGGCCACACCGCGGCCCUGGGAUGCCAGGACCCGCGCGCGUGUGUGCACGCCAACGCCGCGGGGCCAAGCCGUGUCCCCGCCUCGCCGCGUCUCUGUUAGACCACUCCGAGCCCGAACGUGCCCAGCCUCGCCAUGCCUGCGCCACGGCCUCGCCGUGCGCAUCCACCCCGCGAUGUGGCCGCGACAUCGCGUUCGCGUCGCGGCCAAGCCUGUGAGGCCUUUCCCCGAGCACCCUUCGGGCGCCGCACACGCACAUCGUGGCACGCACACACGCACGCCCUCCUGCCGCCCCGAAUCCAGACCCGCCGCACCAGAUCCCGCGGAGACCGACGCCUGGGCCCGACCUGUCAGUGUGAAGGAAGAAGGCGGAGGCCGCCAGCGUGGAGGAGAAAACGAAGGAGAAGGCCGCCAGUGGAAGAAGGAGAAGGAGAAGGAGGCCAGUGGAGGAGAAGGAGGCGGAGGCGGAGGCCGCCAGCGUGGAGGAGAAGAUGAAGGAGGAGAAGACCUGUCAGUGGAAGAAGGCUGAGCCGCAGGCCGGGCUGACUCCGCGAGCCUAAGCCGAGCCUGUUGGGCCUUGAGCCGGCCCAUCACCACUUUUGGCCCAGAACCAAACCAAGUCCUUUUUCCUUUUCUUUUCCGGCCUGACCCGAGGGGCCCACCUGUCAGCCUCAGGGCGAGGCUGACCCGUGGGACCCGUUGACCAUGGACCCCCUUGACCUUUGACCGUUGACCGGUCAAUGUUGACCGGUCAACGAUGACGUCAGCAGGGCCCAUUGCUGACGUCAGCAGACCUGGACCCCCCUGAUGAUGUCAUGCUGGCGUCAGCAUGCCACGUGGCACGCCCCCGGAUGCUGCCACGUGUCCCUGUUACCUGUUUUUCCUUUUUCCAGAAAUUCUUUAUUAAUUUCAGAAAUAGGUUUUCCCUUAAAAAAUUCAUAAUAAAUCGAUCGGACCUCCGAAAAUUAUGAAACUAGUUCCAUAAUUCUUCUAAAAUCAUGAACCACCCGUUAGAGUAGGCAUUAUGGUGAUUUGGAUCUUAUUUGUAGAGUUUUGUGUAUAUUUGCACCUUGGUCCCUACUCUUACUCGUAUUUACGAAUAGGACCCGACCACGAGGAGUUGACCGACGGCCAGGACUACCCGGAGGCCCAGGAGGACUUCGAAGAGACGCCAGGUUCACGCCCAUGUACGAUUUGAAUUCCUAUUAGGCAUUGCUUGUAGAUAUGCUAUCGCUGUAUGUGUGCUUAUAUCGAGAUGAACCUGCAUGGCCUAUUUUAUGUACCUUACUCCUUGCCAUCCUAUCUCACUUGUUUAUUAUAUGAAAUGCCUGGUAAAUCCUUGAAUGUGUAUGUGUGGGAAAUGGAUGGAUAGUCUUGGCGUGUGUGAAGUGGUUCUCUGCAGGAGUUGGUGAUUAGGGUUUAGUCGGGAGUGGGCAACCUAACUCGAUCAUGGAUCGAAGGCUUGGGGUGUGUAUCUGGGCACACCCUACGGAGUACCUGUGGCGGGUACAGUUUUGGUUACGAGUUUGAGGUGUUAGAGGCACCCGUUAAGGGUGCAGUCGUGGACCACCGUGGUGGAUACGCUUUUGACGAAGAUGCCCGCUUCGGCAAUUAAGGACCGGGUGAGAGUAACUAUAACUUGUGGGAAUCUGUUAAGCGUACACACCACUUACCUAUUAUGAGGGUGGGCCCGGUCUGGGGUUAGCAAGCGCGGUACCAAGCCGGUAUGAGGAUCGAGUAUCAGUGCAGGGGGAGGAGGUGCUGACCUCACGUUCCCCGAGACGCAUGGGAGGCUUCACAGUCCCAGGGCGACCUCCCGUGGGAGGAUGCGCCCAAGACCCGGGAAAGCUGGAUGGUGCCGUGGCUCCUAGUUCCGUUUCAGUAGACCGGUGUUUCGUAUGCUAGUCGGCUGAUCUCCGGCUAGUGUCGAUUCGAGUGGGUCCAGGUGUACAACCCCUAUAGGGUGAAAACUAUACGUAUAGCCGCGUCCUCGGUCAUGGACAUCCCUACUCCUCUGUUGCUCUUAUUAGUUAGUGCUACUCAUGAAUUCUACCUCCCUCUAGAAUAACUUCCUGCCGGGGGGCAGUUGAGAUGCGAGGAGAGGGAGUUCUCGCAUCGACUUGGUGGUUUUGGAAGGUGUGUGUUGACCGGGAGUCCGGGAUGCCGGAAGGGCCCGAGUCGGGAACGAAAGGAGAUGUGUAUACUUAUAUAUAUAUUUACUGCAUGCAUAGGGAAACCCCAGCUUUACCUCUUGAACUCUGUUAUACCCGUAGUAUAGACCACGAUAAAGCUUGCAUUCAGAUGGUGACGUUAACCUAUCCCAUUUCUUGGGGAUAGCCUGGUAUGAUGCAGGAUCCGAUCCGGAGUUCGACCCCAACGACGACGGUUGGUACGACUGAGGCUCGAGCUACGCUCAAGUCGCCUGUGGAGGAGGUUCCCGAAGAUGAAGGAUGGCCGAAGACCUAGCUACCGUUUUGCGCCUUCUGCUUGUUCGAUCUAGCCGAGAGGCUUGUAAUAAAUUCCGUACUACAGAUCCUUUGGAUUUAGGUAAUAAUUAAACCCGUAUUUGACCUUAUGAUGAGUAUGACUAUGAUAUUAUGCCUGAAAUGAGUCCUGUAUGUGAUAGCGCUUGAUCCAUGGACUAUCACGAUGAUACAGGGAGUCGGAUUCCUCGAUUCGGGAAUCCGGUUCGUUUCAGUUGGUAUCAGAGCCAUACUUGACCGUAGCACGAGCCUUAGACAUGGUCGGUAGACCUAGGGAAGUCUAUACGAUUCUAUCCACUUACUAUAACACCUUGGGCUAUUUUUCGUCGAUACCUUGACUCAGUUUUCCUCCACUCUUGAGUUAUUCUCUUACCUACGCUGACUCAAUUCUUACGUUCCUACGUAGGGUAGCAGCCGCGAUGACGACCACGAUGGAGAGUGUGAACCACGACCCCGAGCUGUACGCGGAGUACCACCAGAGGCGUGUCCUCAAAUGGUUUGAGCGCGUGGUGGAGCACAUCGGCAUCGACCUGAACUACGUCAAGCUCUCCCUGAAGUCGACCACCCCCCCAUACUACUCCAAGAUCGCCACACUCGUCGUCUUACCAGACCCCGCAGUACCCAACUUCGAGGGUAAGAUGGUCUACAGCUUCGGCGUACUCACCGAGACAGCCGUCCAGUCAGCCGCUAGGAAGAUGACGAUGGAGCUACUCGCCCAGUUCUGGCAGACCAAGUUUGUGGACUCUUCCUUCCGCCUGCUACCUCGGGUCGUCCUGCCCAAUGAAGAUCCCGAGGCUGUUUACUUGGAGAUGCACACUACUCCGGUUCAGGAGACCGGAGGGGACCAGCCCAUGGUCCACACCACCGGUUCUUACCUCUACGACCUGGACCACCUAGCUGUGAACCUUUCCCUGGAGAGCGAGCAGCUCCACCAGGGAUUCUACGAGAGUGUGAGGCACAUCCACGUUCUGCAGCACGAGAUUCAGGGAUGGAACCAGAUCUACACCACAGCCCGGUGAGAGGCCCGCCGCAACCAGGUGUGCUACAUGGAGGCGAACAUGAUGCGUCAGACCCAGACCCAGCAGAGGAUGGCCGCCGAAGCAAAGCUACUCCAGACCGAGACCGAGCUCCAGAAGCUCCGGGAGGAGAAGGCCGAGUGGGAGCUCAAGGAGAAGGACUACCUCGCCACCAUCAGCAAGCUCAAGGAUCAGGCAACCGACAGUGAGGUCGAGUGCCGCCAGUUGCAGACCCAGGUGGACGAUCAGCAGGACUUCAUGACCCUUCACGGCUACCUCGAAGCUAAGGUGGAGGAUCGGGUGAAGGAACUUGAGACCAGGUUGGAGAGGAACAAGAAGAACAUCGCCUUGCUGACCCGCACUGCCGUGUACCUCCGCGACAAGGCCGCUCGCGCCUUGCAGACAUGGGAGAUUUCCGACACAAUCCGCAUCGACGAGAUCCACGAGCUGAGGAACCAGCUACCCGAGGAGAGCCAGCGCAUGGUGAGGAAGGAGGAUUUCAAGCUCAUCCCCAUAGAGCUUCGCCUACACUUGUGCCCCCACGAGGAGAUGCCGCCCGCGAUCGAGACCGAGGAGGUGGUGGAGGCCGUCGCAGCCAUCGACGCCAUCUUCCUGGAGGACUACCCGGAGGACUACAAGCGCGUGCUGUCCUACAAGAAGCCGCGCGUCACCAUCUACUAGGGAGUGGGUCAGUGUCUUAGGUAGGGGUAGAUGUAGGAUAAGUAGCCACCGAUGGUCCAUUCCGGCGAGGGUUCCCAUGAGUCUUGUUCUGAGCCGAUGACAUGUUUCCGGCUAGCGUCCUAUGAUGUCACAAGAUCAGGUAGACACGAUAGGAGUCGCCACCUUUUUGUAAGCAUUCACAAUGUGUUCUUAGAGUAUGAGUUGAGGGCGUUAUCUUGAAGGCGUAUGUGUUGACCUCGAGAUAACACCGGUGUUUCCUUGUACUACCUGAAUGAUGUCUAAAUGGAUGGGUGUUGUUUCUUUUUAUUCUCGCAUCUUUUGGAUAAUUGCUUUUAUUCUGAAUGUUAUUGCUUCUUAUUCUUGCAUCUCUUCAGAUAAUAGGCAUGUUUUGCCCUUGUGUGUAUUCUUUUACUUUGGGUGGUGAGUGCCGACGUUUACACGAGGGGAUUCCCCCUACAUCCUAUACAGGAAAUGUCGAUCUGGAGAUCCGACCGCUUGAUGGCCCGCUUCGAACAAGCCGCUCAGGAGGAAGCCGCAGCCGAGGCACGCGGACGAGGCCGCCCGUUUGGCCGUGGCCGAGGACGUGCUUCCCCAGCACGUGCCCCGGCAGCAGGACGUGGAAGAGGCAUAGGACCUACCACGGGUGCCGCACCCCGCGUUCUUGGGGUGGCACACCGUGGAGACGAAGCCGAUGAGGAGGAGGUCGAUGAGGAAAUCAACGCUGAGCCCGCACAGCAGCCACCGCCACCACCGCCGAUGCUCGCGGAGAUCGUGGACAGGCAGACUCAGCUACUCCAGUGCCUGGCCGAGUCAGUUGAUCAGAGGAACCAAGGGGCCCACCAUCAUGGACCGCCUGAAGAGGACCUCCAGCGCAAGAUCGAGAGGUUCAUCCGCCUGAAGGCCCCGACUUUCAGCUACGCCGAGGACCCCUUGGAGGCCGAUGACUGGCUAAGGGUGAUCGAGACCAAGCUGGACCUCACCAACUGCACCGAUGAGGAAUGCGUCGCACUCGCCGUUCACCAGCUCGAGGGUACCGCCAAGUCAUGGUGGGACAGCUACUGUGACUCCCACAACGACCCAGCACACAUCUCAUGGGAGGAGUUUGCCAGGGCAUUCCGUGAGCAGCACGUGCCCCGGCAAGUGAUGAUUCAGAAGGCCCAGGAGUUCCGUACCAUGACUCAGGGUACGAUGAGGGUGGAGGAGUACGAGCGCCACUUCACCAAGAUGAUGAGGUACACUGCAGACGACACCAACAUCGAGGAGAAGAAGCAGUUCUGGUUUCUCCGAGGACUAUACCACGGCAUCCGUCAGAUUGUGACGGGAUGCGAGUACCCAUCGCUCCGCAGCUUGGUCAACCGUGCCAUUGCUGUGGAGAGGGAGAGAUUGGGAUGGGAAGACCGUCAGCGCAACAAGAAGCGCCAGACCGACCACCAGGUACGAGACCGGCCCUUCCAGAAGGCAAGAAACGCGCCACCCCUGCCACCGAGGAGCGGUUUCCGUUCCGGCUCCAGUCAGCCGAGCAGGAACUACGGUGGGGGAGGCAACCUCUACUCCGGCAACAAGACCCACGGAGGACAGAACCAUGGAGGAGGCAGCUACCACCGCCAGCAGCCGGCACAGAGGACCAACAGUGGCUCGACGCCAUUUGUUUGCUUCACUUGCAACAAACCGGGCCACAAGUCCUAUGAGUGCCCCGAGAAGAAGACCUCGACUCCAGCUCGCGUGCCUGGCUCCGCCGGCAGGCCCGCUCAAGCCCCGUGCUCCGCAGACCGCGGCCGCCUCACCCACCUGACCGAGGAGGAGGCCUGGGAUGCUUCCGAUGUCGUGACAGGUGAGUACCUUAGCAACGGCUCUAAAGCCUUGGUGUUGUUUGACUCUGGAGCCACUUGCUCCUACAUCUCUUCGAAGUGUGUUGCACAAAAAUCCCUUCCGAUGACCCCGAGAAGCCAUCCUAUCAUCACUAGCUCCCCGCUGGGGGAUCAUAGGUGCACACUAGCAUGUAGGGGAGUGAGAAUCAUGAUUCAGGGACUGCCGUUCACAGCUGACUUGACAGUACUGCCAUCAGAGGGGAUAGAUGUCAUUUUGGGGAUGGACUGGUUGACUGCACACAAGGGUUUUUAUAUCUUGCUCGCCCAGAUUGGUGACACUGGAACACCCUAGUGGGAAGAAGAUCGAGGUGGAACCGUUGAAGCCCCGAGAUGUACCUCGAGUGUACAAUUUGAACAACUUAGAGAAGAGGACACUCGAAGACGUGCCAAUAAUUUGCGAGUAUCCUGAUGUGUUUCCCGAGGAGCUGCCAGGUUUACCACCGGACAGGGAUGUUGAAUUCGUAAUCGACCUUGUGCCAGGGAUGGCACCGAUCACGAAGCGACCCUACCGCAUGUCCGCAGAAGAGCUCACUGAGUUGAAGACACAGCUGAGUGACAUCCCGAAAAUCUAACCCAGGGUUUACGCGCUAAAUCUUCGUUUCGCCAAAACCCUAAAACCCCCCUGAAACCCUAAUUUUUUCCGAGACCCGAAACCGGCAACCGAAUCCAACCGCAGUCACGCCAUCUUUUCCCUCGUUCCGCGUGCGAACGCCGCACGCGCGUGGCCGACCAGCCGCGGUCACCGCCGCGAGUUCCGCCGCGCGGUCGCCGCCGCGAAUCCCGCCGGCGCGCGUCAAUCCCUCCCUUUUUCAUUAUUUCCUUCCCCUUUUCUUUUCUUUUUUUUCCUUUCUCCUUUUUCCUAUUUUCCCUUUUUCCUUCCCCACCUUUUUCCCCUUUUCUUUUCUCUUCUUUUUCCCCUUUUCUCCCUUCUCCCUCCUUCUUUCUUCCUCCCUGUUCCCCGCUCCCGAGACCCUGCUCCCGCGCGCGUGCCUGGCCGCACCCGCCGCGCCGGCCACCGGCCCCCCCUCCCCUCGCGCGCGCCUGUGCCCGGCCGCCCGUACCCGCGCGUGCACCACGUGCCGCGCCGCCCGCCGUGCCGCCCGUCGCUGGCGCACGCGCGCGGCCGCACGGCCGCCGUGGCGCACACGCCGCCGCCCUGCCCCGCCCGCACUCGCCGCGCCCCCGCCGCUGUGCCGCCUCGCCCGCCGUGCCGCCCCUGUGCCCGCACACCGCCGCCCGGCCCCCCACGUGCACGGCUGUGCACGGCCGCGCCCCCGCCGCAAGCCACGGGCGCCAUUAAUGGCCGCCCGUGGAGCCGCCCCGCCGGCCACCGCCUCCCCGUGCCGCUCGGCCGCCUAUAAGUAGGCCGGCCGCGGCCUCUCACCCCCCACAAGCCUCCACCGCCGCCCCUGCCUCUCCCCCGCGCUCCACCGCUGCCCCGCCGAGCUCCCGAGCCGCCGCCGCUUGCCACCGCCGGCCCGCCGCCUCACGCCGCCCCGGCCCGAGGUAAGGCCGGGAAUCGAACCCCCUUGCCUCCCUCUUCCUUUCCCCCCACGCGCCCGAGCCGCCCGAGCCCCGGCCGCCCGGAUCGAGCCGGCGCCGAGCUCUCCCCCUCCCUCCUCUGUUCUUGCGGGCAGGAGGAAGAAGAAAGGGGCAUUUUGCCCCCUAGCCCCUCCCCUUUUUCCCAUUUUGUUAAGAGCCCUCCCACCUUUGUAAAACUUGCAGAAAAGCCCUUGGUUACUAUUUCUUUUCAAAUCUAAUCCCUCCACCCUAUAUUAUUAUUUCCAAAUAGACCCCUCACACUUUUCACUGCCCCCUAAUAUUUCUAGGAUUAGCAAAUAAGCCCUUACCCCCUUUAGAUAAUUACGAACAAGUCCCUGGACCCCCGUUUAAGCCCUGAAACCACCUUUAGCGCGUCAUUUUAUGUGCGAAACGACCUCCGAUCGACCCGAAACUUUACCACGCCCUUUCUAGUAUAGUUGUAGUCAUGCCAUUAAGAAACCACCCAAAGAUAUCAUCCCUAACUCCGUAACUAAAUUAUUUCCGAUUCGAGCUCAACGAUAAAAGCUUUCAGUUCUUGUGCUUGAUUGUGUGUCUGUUUGUUUGCGUCGUAGGACACGGAGUGAACGAGGAAGGCCUCGACUGUGAUCAAGCGAACGAGAACCAGUUCCGCGACUCCAAGCUCGAGGGACAGUGCUACGAUCAGGACCUCCCGCAAGAGUUUGACGAUGGCAAGUUCAAUUCCGCCCUUUGAUGCAUGUUUCUGUCCUAGUUUUUAUAAACACAACCCAGUGGCCUGUUUUAAAAAAUUGCAUAGUUUUGCGUGCUGAAAACAUGGUAGGAUAGCCACCCUUGUUUGAGAUAACCCUACCUUGACCACCUGAUUUUACAAAGAAAAUGUGUGUGUGUGGGAAGGGAUGAAAUGUGGUUUUGAAAGACGAGUCGGACGGGAUGGAUGGCAUUUCUGUGUGAAUUGCCGUUGGUGUGCUCGUACCUGUGUGGUAGGGCAAGGAAGGGAGAUAUCCAUCCUGUCACCCCUAAGGACCGAGUUGAUGUGACAUCUCACCUAGCUUCUCGUCGUGCGAACCACUUGACCGUUGUAUGGGCAACGGCUUAGCAUAAAUCCCACUAGUUAGCCUGAUAGUCAUCAGGAGAGCUGAGAGCAACGGGUGAUCAAGGAGAAGGGAUAAGCUCUGUGUGACUUAUACCCUGGUCAAACCUCGGAGAUAGGUCGAAUGACCCCUUGGUGGAUCCCGUGAUGGCUUGUCAGGUCUAGCUAAGGUGGGUAAUGGCUUUGUUGGGAUCUGCACCGACACUAAGGUGAUCGUGUUGUGGUACCCCACCUGUGGGUAAAGUUGUACACCUCUGCAGAGUUAAAAAUCUAUUCGAAUAGCCGUGCCCACGGUAUUGGGCAAGUUAUGGUGUGGUCACAUAACUAGUGUUUCUCUUUGGGAAUGGUUGGGCUGGCGUGAGUUGUUUGGAAAGUGUCCGGCAGUUAUGCCGUGUGCUACGGCGGACGGGGAGUCCGGUAGCAGUUUAAAACUUGGAUCCUGUGUGGAUCAACAUCGUGUAUUCUUGGUGCCAGAAAACUCGUUUUGGAAAUGGAUUUUAAACGAACCCUUGCAUACAAUUGAGUUUUUCGCAAACGAACCAUAACCUACCCUUGUAUCGUCCUGUGCAUAUGAUUACUGUUAUACCCCCCUUCCGUGGGUGCGAUUGGACUUGCUGAGUACGUUUGUACUCACCCCUUUCUUACUUUUACAGUGGAAGACCCAGACUACGUCCCCGAAGACAACGAGUAGGGUUUCGUCCUGCACCCAGUCUUGCCUGUGGUUGAGGCCACCGUUGGAUUCCGCAUGGCGCAAGACUCUGAUGAUCCUCUUUUCGUAACUAGUGUAGUGGUGUGGGUUUUAGUUGUAAUCCUCGCGAUAGUGGCGCUUCACUGCCCAUUACCGCGAAGAGUUGUACGGUGAUGUACCAUCUGUUGUAAUAAAAGUGUUAUCAGCCUCCUGGGACUGAUAAAUUAACACUUUUAAGUCUUCCCUGAUGGGGGGACGCUUCAAAGGACCUGCUAGAUAAAUAGUACAUCAGGCCUAGUGCAUCGCCAUGGGGAUCACCCGUGUUGUUCGUGAGGAAGAAGGAUGGAACCACGAGGUUAUGCAUCGACUACCGAUCGCUGAACGCCGUGACCAUCAAGAACAAGUAUCCGUUACCCAGAAUCAAUGAUCUGCUUGACCAGUUGAGAAAGGCCAAAUUCUUCAGCAAGAUUGAUCUGAGAUCCAGGUACCAUCAGAUGAAGAUCCGGGAGUGUGACAUCCCGAAGACAGCAUUCGUGACUAGGUAUGGCCAGUACGAGUUCACCGUAGUAUCUUUCGGACUGACCAAUGCACCCGCCUACUUUAUGAACAUGAUGAACAAGGUGUUCAUGGAAGAAUUGGACAAGUUCGUCGUAGUCUUCAUCGACGACAUCUUGAUCUACCCCGAGACCGCCGAAGAACAUGCUGAGCACCUGAGGAUAGUGCUUGAGAGGUUGAGGCAGAAUCAGUUGUAUGCCAAGUUCAGUAAAUGCGAGUUUUGGCUAGAGAAGGUUGCUUUCCUAGGCCACGUGUUGACUGCAGAUGGGGUUGCUGUAGAUCCCGAGAAGAUCGAAGCAGUGUCAGAGUGGCAGCAGCCGAAGAGUGUUACCGAUAUCCGAAGCUUCCUGGGUUUGGCAGGCUACUACCAACGAUUUAUUGAGAACUUUUCCAAGAUUGCCAAGCCUAUGACCGAGCUACUCAAGAACAACGUACCGUUUGUAUGGUCACCCAAGUGUGAAGCCAGUUUUCAAGAGCUCAAAUCCUGACUCACUACUACCCCAGUCCUCACUCUUCAGGACAUCCGGAAGGACUUCGUAGUCCAUUGUGACGCUUCUUGUCAAGGCCUGGGUUGUGUGCUGAUGCAAGACGGCAAAGUUGUUGCAUAUGCCUCCCGGCAGUUGAGGAAACAUGAAGAAAACUACCCUACCCACGACCUUGAACUCACAGCUGUAGUGCACGCCUUGAAGAUUUGGAGGCACUACCUGAUUGGCAACAAGUGCGAUAUUUAUACCGAUCACAAGAGUCUGAAGUAUUUCUUCACUCAGGCAGAGCUGAAUAUGAGGCAGAGGAGAUGGUUAGAGCUGAUCAAGGACUACGACCUGAAUAUUCGGUACCACCCCGGCAAGGCUAACGUCGUAGCAGACGCCUUAAGCAGGAAGCACUAUUGCAGCAAUCUGAUGGUUCGUGACGAGCAGCUUGCACUGUGCGAUGAACUCGAGAGGCUGAAGUUAGAAAUAGUAGAGCAGGGGCACCUGAAUGCAAUGACAGUCAAGUACGAUCUAGAGGAUCGAAUUAGGCAAGCUCAGCGACGAUGCCCAGAACUUCAGAAGCUCAAGCGAGCAAUGCGAGAUGGAAAAGCGACCGACUACAGGGUCGACGACCAAGGGACCAUAUGGCUGAAAGAUCGCAUAUGUGUACCCCAGGAUCAAGGGAUCCGUGCCGAGAUUCUGGAUGAAGCACAUAACUCCAAGUACACCAUACACCCAGGGUGCACGAAGAUGUACCAAGACUUGAAGGACCGUUUCUAGUGGAACGACAUGAGAACGGACAUAGCCGAAUUCGUGGCUAAGUGCGACAUUUGUAGGAGAAUCAAGGCUGAACACCAGCGCCCUGCCGGUCUAUUGAAACCACAUGAUAUUCCCAUAUGGAAGUGGGAUGACAUCUGCAUGGACUUCAUAACAGGAUUACCCCGGACUCAGAAGGGCAAUGACUCCAUUUGAGUAAUUGUUGAUCGUCUAACCAAAGUGGCACACUUCAUCCCCGUCAAGACCACGUACACCGUGAGUCGACUAUCCGAACUGUACGUGGAGAACAUCCUGAAACUCCACGAGGCACCACGAAGUAUAGUAUCAGAUCGAGGCCCUCAAUUCACCGCAAAAUUCUGGCAGAGUUUACACAAGUCCCUAGGGACUCAGCUAGAUUACAGCACCGCCUUUCACCCCCAAACCGAUGGGCAGACCGAGAGAGUGAACUAGAUACUCGAGGACUUACUUAGAGCAUGUGUGUUAGCCUACGGAAGUGAUUGGGAAAAGAGUUUGUCCUAUGCUGAGUUCACGUACAACAACAGCCAUCAGGCCAGUUUACGGAUGUCACCCUUCGAGGCACUUUAUGGCAGGAAAUGCAGAACGCCCCUAAUGUGGUCGAAAAUCGAGGAGAGAUCGUAUUUUGGUCCAGACUCAAUCAUAGAAGCUGAAGAAAAUGUCGCCAAGAUCAGGGAAAACCUGAAGAUAGCACAGAGCAGACAGAAGAGCUACGCCGACAAAAGAAGGAGAGACCUCUCGUUUGAAGUCGGAGACCACGUGUACCUGAAGGUGUCACCGCUCCGAGGCACCAAGAGGUUCCAUGUCAACGGGAAGCUAGCUCCGAGGUUCGUUGGACCGUAUCCGAUCAUCCAAAAGAUCGGAGGAUUGGCGUACAAACUGAAGCUACCAGAAGAACUUGCUGGGGUACAUCCAGUUUUCCACGUAUCUCAGCUAUGCAAAUGUUUGCGAGUGCCGGAUCAGACAAUACCCCCAGAUGCAGUGGACUUGCAAGAAACGCUUGAGUAUGUCGAGUAUCCCGUGAAGAUACUGGCCCGGGCAGAUAAAGAGACUAGGAGGACCUCCAUCCCCUACUGCAAGGUUCUUGGGAGUAAUCACACAGAACGGGAAGCCACUUGGGAGAAAGAGUCCGACCUGAAGGAGAAGUACCCACACCUUUUCGAGAACCAGGUAAACCUCUAAUCUCGGGGACGAGAUUCUUGUGAGGGGGGAGUCUGUAACAUUCCAUGUCAACCUUUAGAAAGUUUGUUUAACGAAAAUCGUGAAUUUCCAAAAACUUUUGCGAAUUAUCUUGGUUUGGAGGGAUUGAUGAAUUUUAUUUGAUUGGAUUUUGAAUUGCUUGAUUCAAAUUGUGUGGGAUUUGAAUUUGAAAGGGCCAAUCAAAUUCAAAUCCAAAACCUACCCUAUAAUACCCCUCGUGGGCCACCAGCCCACCGGCCAACGCAGCCCCAGGCCCAGCUGACCUCUUCCCCUUUUCCCUUUUUCCUUCCCCGCACGACACCGGCCCAGCGCCACCGGCCCAGCCCUUCAUCGCGAACCAUCACGCCCCUUCGCCUUCCUUCCGCCCGGGGCAGCUGACGGGUGGGUCCCACCCGUCAGCUUUCCCCUUCCUCCUGACCGCUCGUGACCCCGGCUCCCGCUCGCUCGUUCCGCCCCGCGUUGCCGCUCGCCCCCGCCUCGCGACAGGAUAACGAAACCGCCGCUCCCCUUUUCGCCGCGCCCGCGCUCGCCUGCGUCAUCCCGCGCGCGCCUGUCUCCGCUCCGCGACAGCGCAGCACAACCGCCACGCGCGCCCUUUCCCCCGCACCCCGACCGCCCGCGCCGCGAACCCUAACCCUAGCCGCGCUCCCUCCGCGCCGUGAUGCCGCCACGCGUCCCGGCGCGGACGCCAAAAAGCCCCGGCCGCAGCCGCACACGAGCCCCGGCGCCGCGUAUAAGAACCCUAGCCGCGCUCCUAAACCCUAGCCACCCGUGUCUCUUCUCCAUUCUGCCGUCGCCGCACGAGAGGAAGAGAGAGGAGAGGAGGAGGAGGAGGAGAAGGGCUCGAGGAGGAGGACGCCGACGCCACCCCCGGAGCAUCACCGCGCCUGCACCCGUACAACGACACCGAUGCAGCCGCGCACCCUGCACGGCCUCGACCCGCCGGCCUCGCCUCUCCGCUACCCCGAGCGCCUUCUUCUUCAGCCCCGCCGGUGAGCCACACCGCCGCCGUCCAUUUCUUGUCCCCCUGCUACCGGCGUGAUGCCUAGCGCCGCCGAGGAACCCUCCGUAGCCCAGCCGUAGGACCACCCUUCCCUUCCGGCCGCCGUGCCAUUCAUGUGCAGGGACCCGUCGCGCCGCCGUUUCCCCCGCUACCGCCAUCGCAUCAUUGCCGCCGCGUCGUGCCGCUGGCCCGGGGUGCCGGUGCCCCGCGCACGGCACGGCCACGCCGCGGCCCUGGGAUGCCAGGACCCGCGCGCGUGCGUGCACGCCAACGUCGCGGGGCCAAGCCGUGUCCCGGCCUCGCCGCGUCUCUGUUAGACCACUCCGAGCCCGAACGUGCCCAGCCUCGCCAUGCCUGCGCCACGGCCUCGCCGUGCGCGUCCACCCCGCGACGUGGCCGCGACGUCACGUUCGCGUCGCGGCCAAGCCUCUGAGGCCUUUCCCCGAGCACCCUUCGGGCGCCGCACACGCACACUGUGGCACGCACACACGCACGCCCUCCUGCCGCCCCGGAUCCAGACCCGCCGCACCAGAUCCCACGGAGACCGACGCCUGGGCCCGACCUGUGAGUGUGAAGGAAGGAGGCGGAGGCCGCCAGCGUGGAGGAGAAGUCGAAGGAGGAGAAGUCUGCCAGUGGAAGAAGAAGAAGGAGAAGGAGGCCAGUGGAGGAGAAGGAGGCGGAGGCGGAGGCCGCCAGCGUGGAGGAGAAGACGAAGGAGGAGAAGACCUGUCAGUGGAAGAAGGCUGAGCCGUAGGCCGGGCUGACCCCGCGAGCCUAAGUCGAGCCUGUUGGGCCUUGAGCCGGCCCAUCACCACUUUUGGCCCAGAACCAAACCAAGUCCUUUUUCCUUUUCUUUUCCGGCCUGACCCGAGGGGCCCACCUGUCAGCCUCAGGGCGAGGCUGAUCAGUGGGACCCGUUGACCGUGGACCCCCCUUGACCUUUGACCGUUGACCGGUCAAUGUUAACCGGUCAACGAUGACGUCAGCAGGGCCCACUGCUGACAUCAGCAGGCCUGGACCCCCCUGAUGACAUCAUGCUGACGUCAGCAUGCCACGUGGCACGUCCCCGGAUGCUGCCACGUGUCCCUGUUACCUAUUUUUCCUUUUUCCAGAAAUUCUUUAUUAAUUUCAGAAAUAGGUUUUCCCUUAAAAAAUUCAUAAUAAAUCGACCGGACCUCCGAAAAUUCUGAAACUAGUUCCAUAAUUCUUCUAAAAUCAUGAACCACCCGUUAGAGUAGGUAUUGUGGUGAUUUGGAUCUUAUUUGUAGAGUUUUAUGCAUAUUUGCACCUUGGUCCCUACUCUUACUCGUAUUUACGAAUAGGACCCGACCACGAGGAGUUGACCGACGGCCAGGACUACCCGGAGGCCCAGGAGGACUUCGAAGAGACGCCAGGUUCACGCCCAUCUACGAUUUGAAUUCCUAUUAGGCAUUGCUUGUAGAUAUGCUAUCGCUGUAUGUGUGCUUAUAUCGAGAUGAAUCUGCAUGGCCUAUUUUAUGUACCUUACUCCUUGCCAUCCUAUCUCACUUGUUUAUUAUAUGAAAUGCCUGGUAAAUCCUUGAAUGUGUAUGUGUGGGAAAUGGAUGGAUAGUCUUGGCGUGUGUGAAGUGGUUCUCUCCAGGAGUUGGUGAUUAGGGUUUAGCUGGGAGUGGGCAACCUAACUCGAUCAUGGAUCGAGAGCUUGGGGUGUGUAUCUGGGCACACCCUACGGAGUACUUGUGGCGGGUACAGUUUUGGUUAUGAGUUUGAGGUGUUAGAGGCACCCGUUAAGGGUGCAGUCGCGGACCACCGUGGUGGAUACGCUUUUGACGAAGAUGCCCGCUUCGGCAAUUAAGGACCGGGUGAGAGUAACUAUGACUUGUGGGAAUCUGUUAAGCGUACACACCACUUACCCAUUAUGAGGGUGGGCCCGGUCCGGGGUUAGCAAGCGCGGUACCAAGCCGGUAGGAGGAUCGAGUAUCAGUGCAGGGGGAGGAGGUGCUGACCUCACGUUCCCCGAGACGCAUGGGAGGCUUCACAGUCCCGGGGCGACCUCCCGUGGGAGGAUGCGCCCAAGACCCGGGAAAGCCGGAUGGUGCCGUGGCUCCUAGUUCCGUUUCAGUAGACCGGUGUUUCGUAUGCUAGUCGGCUGAUCUCCGGCUAGUGUCGAUUCGAGUGGGUCCAGGUGUACAACCCCUGCAGGGUGAAAACUAUACGUAUAGCCGCGUCCUCGGUCAUGGACAUCCCUACUCCUCUGUUGCUCUUAUUAGUUAGUGCUACUCAUGAAUUCUACCUCCCUCUAGAAUAACUUCCUGCCGGGGGGCAGUUGAGAUGCGAGGAGAGGGAGUUCUCGCAUCGACUUGGUGGUUUUGGAAGGUGUGUGUUGACCGGGAGUCCGGGAUGCCGGAAGGGCCCGAGUCGGGAACGAAAGAAGAUGUGUAUACUUAUAUAUAUAUUUACUGCAUGCAUAGGGAAACCCCAGUUUUACCUCUUGAACUCUGUUAUACCCGUAGUAUAGACCACGAUAAAGCCUGGUAUGAUGCAGGAUCCGAUCCGGAGUUCGACCCCAACGACGACGGUUGGUACGACUGAGGCUCGAGCUACGCUCAAGUCGCCUGUGGAGGAGGUUCCCGAAGAUGAAGGAUGGCCGAAGACCUAGCUAUCGUUUUGCGCCUUCUGCUUGUUCGAUCUAGCCAAGAGGCUUGUAAUAAAUUCCGUACUACAGAUCCUUUGGAUUUAUGUAAUAAUUAAACCCGUGUUUGACCUUAUGAUGAGUAUGACUGUGAUAUUAUGCCUGAAAUGAGUCCUGUAUGUGAUAGCGCUUGAUUCAUGGACUAUCACGAUGAUACAGGGAGUCAGAUUCCUCGAUUCGGGAAUCCGGUUCAUUUCAAUGUCGAUGCAGGAAGAAGUUCGCAGUGCAGUUCCACGAACGGUCACACCGGGAAGUAGACGAAGUAGUCAUUCCCACGAACGGUCACGCCGGGAAGUAGACGAAGUAGUCGUUCCCACGAACGGUCACGCCGGGAAUUAGACGAAGUAGUCGUUCAGGGAGCGAGCAGUCGCGUCAAGAUGCUCCCCAAAAACCUGAUUGCCCGCAUCCCGUGCAGGACCUUCAGCGAGCAGAGGUCCCGGAGACCUGCUCUCGCUAGAGCUGUGCGCGCAGCACUAGCGAUGGGAAUGGUAGAAAGCAGCUGAGGGAGAAGGGAGAGGUCUCCUAAGCAGGAGUACCUGGAUCAAGUGCUGAGGUGAGUGAGGAUGGGAGUAGGGGGUGGUUGUUUAUAUAGGUGUGGAGGUAACUCAGGUUCCUUCUCCUCCUCGCCCUCGGCAAGUACGCGCUCGCCGACCAUGUCUUGUGCGAUGCCGCCUAUCCCGCCGUCCCUCACUGGGUUAGGAUGGAUCUCCACGUCCUCUCGUGGAUCUACGACUCCAUCACCACCGAGCUGUUCGAGAUCAUCACCACCGCCUCGCCGUCCGCCCGCACCGCCUGGCUCGCCCUCGAAGAACAGUUCGUCGGCAAUCGCGAAACUCGGGUUGUCCUCGUCGACACCGAGUUCCGCACCUUGAUGCAGGGCGCGCUCUCCGUCACGGAUUACUGCCGCCGGAUGAAGACCCUCGCCGACUCCCUCACCGAGCUCGGCGAGCCCAUCUCCGACCGCCUCCUCGUCAUCAAUGACCUCCGUGGCCUGAACGACCGCUUCGCUCACCUCCGCCCCUACCUCAAGCGACAGCGGCCGCUUUGCUCCUUCGCCGAGGUCCGCUCCGAACUCCAGCUCGAGGAACUCUCUCUGGGUGCUCCGUCCACCGUCACGCCGCCCGUUGCUCCUCCGCCGUCUGCCCCCACGGCCCUUACCGCCGGCCCCCCAUCCCCUGCACCAACCUCGGGUGGGGGCCGUCGCCGCCGCAAGAACAAGGGGGCCAACGGAGGCCCUGUCCCUGGGGGCGGUGCCGCUCCCACCUCCGGCGCAUCUCCAGCUGCCGGCGGCGCUGCUUGGCCCAGCUUCUACAAUCCGUGGACUGGCACGAUCCAGACGUGGCCCGGACUGCGCCCGCCAUCAGCCACAGCUCCAUGGCCGCAGGCUCUCCUUGGCGGCCACAGCUGGGAGGAUGCACUGGCAAGGAGGACACUAGGUGUGGUGGGGGAGGCCGGAGGCAGGAGCGGGUAGAGCGAGCCGGUGCUAUUGCACCUGCUGAUCAAACACCUGGUCCGGAGGUCCUUCACAGAAAAAUCAAAGGGAUCAAACUCGACAGAGCAAUUAUUAUCGGUUGUAAAUUGGCGAACAGAAACAAGGUUUUUGAUGAUGUGAGGGGCGACAGGAACAUUGUUAAGGUGGAGAGAACCGAUAUGUGCAGUGCCGGUGGACAUGACUGGAAGAGCAGAACCAUCCAUGGCUGCCGCCUCCAGGAAGACGUCGCUCGUCACGAGCGCGCCCUGGCCGACGCGCAGCGCCUCCUCCAGGAAGACGACGACGCUGAUGCCGCCGCAGCCGGCGGAGGCAACGCCCCUGCCGGUGAUGACGCCGCUGACCCGGAUGUCACCAGCGUCUCCGCCCUUCACGCCCAGGCUCUCGGCAUCCUCAACGUCCGUGCUCUCAUCCCGACGGUGCUUGACCUCGCCACGCCGUCCUUCUCCAAGUGGUGCCAAAUAAUUGUCCCUUCCUAAAGGAUGCAUAUAUUGGCGCAAAGUCGUAACGAUCCGAGAGUCCUAGUCUCCUAGAUAGCAUUUGUGUGAAAGUGGAUGACCUUUUUGACCAUAUUGCCAUGCGCACACGUGUUUCCGUCAUAAAUUAUACUACUAUCCCAUGUGCAUGGUUCACUUACCACAUGCUUCCUUUGAAUUUUAAAUCCUUAUUAGCACGGUAAAAAAAUAUAUAAAUUGUAACAACAUGCACGUGGCUACACACCACUCUUUCAAACUUCAAAAUUCAAUGCUACACAUUGCCAGAGCCACCACACAAACAUUGCAUAACGAUUAUUUUUAAUAUAUAACUACACAUAGUUAUGCAUCACACAUUCAAAAUUUAAAAUCUAACAUACAUAAUUUUUUUCCCAAUGUACAUACAAGGUACCAUAGCAAAAAUAACACGAUAAUGAAUAUUUAUAUAUAUAUAGUUAAUUUUAUUUUUCACUUGCAGUUUUCAAGUAUUGUAUUGUAUAUGCCUUGUACAUCCGAGCUACCUUGGAAAACAACCACACUAACGAAAAUUUCUUAUAUUGUUAACUUUCAGUCUCUUGACUUACAUUUUUUUAAAAAAAGAUUAUUGUACAGACCAUGUGCAUCCCAGGUGCAAUAGCACAGCAAAAUAUAGCAUACAAUUUCAAAAUGCAAGCAUCCCCAAAAUUUACACGACUAGAAAAACUAGAUUAUCUACAUCAACAUUAAAAAUAACAUGUACCAAAGGGGCACUACCACAAAAAUGGUUUUUAGAGGCGGGUAAAAACAUAUUUCUAGGGGUGGAUGGGUACCCGCCCCUACUUCUUGCAGCUAGAAACAACUAUUUGGGUAACGCACCCGCCCUAGAAAAUCCAUUUCUAAGGCGAGUCACGCCUUCAGCCGCCCAAAGAAAUCGAUUUGUAGAGGCGGGUGUGGGUCAUGGCAUGACCUGCCCUACAAAUAAACUUUCAUGAAAAAAAUAGAAAAAUAGCAAAAAUAGCAAAAUAAAAAAGAGAAAGAUAUUCUAGCCCACCGGCUACCACCACAAGUCCCUCUACUAUGCACGUACAAUUUUUUUGAUGAAAUAUGCACACUUGUAUCAACCGGGGUUCGAAUUGUUUAUCUCCUCUCCACCACACUAUACAGUCACUUGUGAAUUUAUGAGGUAUGUUAUUCUUUUGUAUUAACUCUGAAAUUGAUUUGUAGGGGCGGUUGAUGCCAUGACCUGCCAUUACAAAUCCAUUUCCAGGAAGGAUCGUCACCCGCCUCUGAAAAUAUAUUUAUAUUUAUUCCAAAAAUUUAUUUAAAAACUUUAAAUAUAGCAAAAUAAAAUAAAAAAGUAAAAAUUUCUACACUAUAGUUAUUGUGAACUACAGAUACAUGAAAAAUAUACCAAGUAUAUUUCAGUUUAUAUAAAUAUAAAGAUUGUAGAAAUCUCGAAGUAUGACUUGAGUUGUAUGAAAUACUAUAUAGUAAUAGUCAUAUGUUGGGCAUAACUAUUAAUUGAUUCUUACGAUUAUAAAAGAUCUUAAAUGAAUAAUUCAUAAACUAUAAAGUUUUAGAUCUUACCAUUGUAACUUUAAUAUGGAGCUACUCUACAUCGGAGGUUGUUUGAAAAAAAAUAAAAAACUCUAGAUUUUAAAAUUAGAGAUCUUAUAAUAUUUUUUUAACUACUAAAUGACUCUAAAUGAAAAGUUAUCAAUUAAAAAAUUUUAGGUCUCAUCAAUCUCUAUAAUUUUGAUGUAAAGUUUGACUUCAUCCGAGAUUAUAUGAAAAAGUUACGAAUUUAUUUGUGUGGAGCCAUUUGUAGGACGGGUCAUGCCAUCAUCUGCCCCUAACAUCAUUUUGUAGGGACGGGUCAUAUCAUCACCCGUCCUUGAACAGUCAUCCGCCCUUUAACAUAUUUAGGGGCAACUGAUGUCCCUAGAAAAUGCUGUCUCAAGAAAUAGUAGCGAUUUCUAGGGGUGGGUGAUGGAUAAGGGCGGGUGAUGGGUAAUGGUGGCCAUAUCUAGGAGUAGGUGAUGACUGUCCUCUAAAAUGCAUUUUCAAGGGCAAAACGGAAGGUACAAUAACUUCGUUCUAUUUCUAGGAGUGGAUUACCUUUUGAACCGUCCCCAACAACCAAGCAUUUCUACAGAUCGAACGUGGGGUCGACAGGCACAAAUCAGUUUGAGAAAAAAGAUUGUAGAUACUUAAAUACAUCCAUUGAUAUGUCGUACAACAAGUCUAAGGACUUAAUUGCAAGCUAGCAUCGUCGCACUUUGCACACUUCCUCUCCCCUAUCUAUCCGCAUUUAUGUCUGGGUCCACUCCAACAGGAACCGCCUCGAGUCGACGUUACCCCGACCCGUCAUCCCAAACAGCGGACUCCCAUUCCCACUCCCACCACCUGAAACCCACGAUGUUCCCAUCGCGCUGCCCAGUCCCCCACACCUGCACGACCGCCGAGCCACACCCUACGCCCACGAACUUCCUCUUUAAACCCGGUAUGUAUGGAGACGCUGAACUCAAAACGAAUCAAAGCAACCCUUCGGGGGAGGAAAAAAGAAA
rnacentral:lncRNA from 1 species